ACAUUUAUUUAAUUAACAUCUGAUCGGGGCAUUUUUGGUGUAAGCCACAACUAAAAUCAAACAGCCCCUUAGCAUACUUCUUCCAUUUUAUCUGCUACUUUUGUGGAUCUUAUAGGGUGGGCAUGUGGACAGAAUUUAAAAGUUUUAAUAGUCUCAAAGAAUAAGAUGUGUUAAAUCUAAAGUUGUUGCACCUUCUGAUUACCUUCUGAUUAAAUAAAGUUGCACAAUUUUACCAACUUGAAAGAAUUGACAUUAAUGAACUGGUCGCCUCUCCAUAUAUGAAGCCUUCUUAAAAGUUCAUUUUUAUUUCAGAAAAAAAAAGUUUAAGUUACAUAUAUUAUAGUAAGAUUUUUUUUUCUUGAAAUAAUAAUGGAAAAGUAUUAAUUUAAAAAUAAAUUGAAUAUGUAUUGAUUAUAGCUUGAUUUUCAUCGAUUAUAGUGAGAGUUUCUCCAAAUCAAUUCCCUUAUUCAAAUAAUACCGAAAAAAUAGUAUUUUAAUAGUAAAAUAAACAGGUGUUGAUUAUAUAUUCUAAGGUUCAUCGAUUAUGUGAUCAAAGUGGCAUUGUUGAUUUAUUUCUUGUUCAAUGUUAAUUUUUAGGUUAUCUAAAUUUCAAGAAUUUAAAAUCUUUGAUCAUGGAUUACACGCUUAUUAAUUUUUCUGCCAUUGACUAUCAUAUUCUAGACUUAAUGAUACUUUUCUUGAUCAAGGGUAAUUACUCUCUCUUCUCCUCUUAUAAAUUCCUCUUCCAUUAACAUCACUAAGAGUAUGUUGAUCUCUCAUACGUUAACUUGAGUGGAGAGUUUCCAAAUUGAUUGUUACAAAACAACACAAAAAGUAGACACACUUGAUCUGUCUAAUAAUUCUCUUUCGGUAAAAUUAAAUAAUUUUAGGGGAAUAUUCGGCCAACCUCUGUAAAUUCAGAGUGAUCAUUAAUUAAUUAAACGAUACAAAUAUCUAAAGUGAUUAGAUGUUUGCCGACAAUACAACCUUUGUGGCGAUUUACAAAUGGACGUACUUGUGCCUUUGUGGCGAUAAUCGAACAAGUACCCAUGAUUAUUAUUUUUUCCAAAAACUUUUUUACAACAAAUUCAUCUCGCCAAAAAUUCUAUGUUGCUAACUAACAAUAAUUGAGCACUUGGCCGCAUUGACUCCACGUCUCCACCUCUUUCUAAAAACAUGGAAAUGUAAUUUCCACAAAAUGUCAAACGUGUGGAAUUUAAUUUUUUGCCUUGUGGAUCAAAAUACAAAUGAAAGAAACAGGAGAAAAAAAAGGCCCAAAGACUUCUAAAAGAUGAAGAAGUCUUUGGGCCUUCUUAUAAUGGUGAAUUUUUUAAAAGAAAAAAAUAACAACAUUUUUAUGGUUUGUUUUGAUAAUCAUAUUUACAAAUACUCUAAUUCUCAAAAUGGACACAUAAAUCUUUUUUUUUUUACAAAUAUAGAUUAUUCAUAUUUUUAUUUUUUAUUAUCAUAUUUUUAUUUAUUAUAAAUGUUUAGAGCAAAUUUUUAGGUUGAAAUAUAAUAAAAAGGUAUAAUUGUUCUCUUAUUAAACACACAUACUUUUAUUAGUUUCUAUCCAUUUGUCAUCUCAAUCUCUCUCAAUUAUUCUUUAUUGCUAGCUCAAAACGCGUUGCUGUUGCAAAUUAUAGCAAAAUGACAAAUAUGGAAAAAAAGGGAAGAAAAUUAAUGCAUGAAAGACUUGGAGAAAACAACAAAAUAAGCCAACUAUGAGCUAGUUGGGUGUAUAAAUUGUUAGAUGUGUUAUAUACAAAUAGCGUAGAGCCCUCUAGUUGGUUCCAGAGACAGAAAGAGCGUGUGUGUUUUUUCACAGUUAGAGAUAUAGUUAGAAUGGGUGGUUCAAAAUCAAAAAUGAUGAUAAUGUUUAUUAUGUUAUUAAUAAUAUUUAAAAGUAGGUGGAGUGAGGGAUGUUUGGAUCACGAGAGAUUUGCUCUUUUGCGAUUCAAACAUUUCUUCAAUGAUCGUCUUAAUUAUCUUUACGACUGGGUAGAUGGUGAGGGAGCUACUGAUUGUUGUCAGUGGGAAAGGGUUGAGUGCAGCAACACCACAGGCCGAGUGAUAGCGCUAGACCUUAUUGAUACGUAUGGGGGAGAGCACAGCUGGUAUCUGAAUGCUUCUUUGUUUACUCCUUUCCAACAACUUGAGUCACUUGAUUUACAUGGCAACAACAUAGCCGGUUUUGUUGAGAAUGAAGGUGCUUCGUUUAAUUUAAUUAAUUUACUUUCUCCCCCCUAAUUUAAGUUGAAUAUCAAGACCGAGCAAUGAUACGCAUAUUCAUUUAGUCGACAAUUUUGACUUUUUUUAAAUGAUUAAUUUUGAAAUUACACCAGUAUCUAUGAUUAUUUUUUUUAUUUUAUUUGCAGGCAUAGAGAGGCUAUCAAGAUUAAACAACUUGAAGGUGCUUGAUUUAAGUGAAAACUCGUUCAACAAUAGCAUCUUAUCAUCUCUAACUCGUCUUUCAUCAUUAAGAUCAUUAAAUUUAUAUGGGAAUAGAUUGGAAGGAAGUAUUGACGUUAAAGGUACAUAAUUAAAACUUCAUCCCUUCUCCAAGCUCUUUCAUUAACUUGCUAAAAUAAGAUUCAAGGCUUUGAAUUCAAUUUUUUUUAUGAUUAGUAUUAAAAAAAAAACAGUUUUAAGCAAUUUAUAAAUACAAGUUUUAAUGUUUCUCAUAAUUUCAUCUUGUACUUUCAUGUGUCUUGAAUUUAAGAUUAAAAAAAAAUCUAAUAGCAAACCAAACACCUCCACAACUUAUUGUUAUUAUUAUUAUUAUUUGUGGUGAGGUUUGAAACAUUCAACUCAAUUUGUACUUAUUACAGAAUUUGAUUCUUUGAGAGAUUUAGAGGAGCUAGACAUUGGCAGGAACAAGAUUGACAAAUUUGUGGUCUCAAAAGGUACUACAAAUACCAUAAAAAAAAUGCUAACUUUUACAAAUUAGCUGGAUUCUUUGCCAUUUGGUUUAUUAUUUUACAGAUUUGAGUAAGUUGAAGUCUCUUGGUUUAAGUGGUGUCAAACUCAACCGUAGCAUCUUAUCUUCUCUGACUGUCUUUUAUUCGUUAAGAGAAUUAGAUAUAAGUGAAACCGGAUUCAAAGGAACAUUCGAUGUUCGAGGUAAGCCUAAACCCUGCUUUCUCAUUUUAUAUAUGCCAACUAGAUUUGUGUAUCAUCGACAUAAUUUAAUAUUUAAUUUGAUUAGUCUGAAGGAAUUACAUGCUAAUUUAAACAUACUUUUAUUUACUCUGUCAAUCAAUUAAUUAAUUAAUUACUAUUUGGCUUGGUUUGGACGAAAUUCUCAUGAUGUUUUAAUUUCUUUAAAUUGAUUAAUUAAUUAACUCUGUUUUUAAGUCUUAAGUCUGGGCAUGUUUACAGAUUUUGAUUCCUUCAAUAACUUAGAAGUGUUGGACAUGAGUGGCAAUGAAAUCGACAAUCUUGUGGUUCCUCAAGGUAAACAAUUAAAAUAUUAUUCAAUUACAUUAUUUUAAUUCAUUUGAUUAGGGAAGGCCAAACAGGUCCCAAAAGAUAAUAAUAAUAAAGAAACAGAUAAUUUGUAUUAAUUAAAAAACAAAAUGUAAUAAAGAUUUGAUUCCAGUUCUUUAAUCUUUAAAGCGAUUGAAAAACAAUGUUGCUCUUUUCCCAAAGCAUAAAAUACAAAUUGAAUGGCAAUUAACUUAAUCAUUCAUUUCGUUUAGCUCUAAAUUUAGACAAUGAAUUUUUAUAUUAUUUCAAAAACAGGACGUAAUAGAAUUUUUUAAAAAACAGAAUGUAAUAAAGAUUUGAUUCCAAUUCUUUAAUCUUUACAGUGAUUGAAAAACGAUACCAAUUAAAUUAAUCAUUUAUUUCGUUUAGGUCUAAAUUUAGAAAAAUGAAUUUUGAUUAUCUUCAAUCUUUUCUUAAUUAUUAUUAAUAAACAGGUUACAGAGGUUUGAGGAAGCUGAAAAGCCUUGAUCAUUCCCAUCCCUCAACACUCUUUACCUUUGGGAUAAUAAUUUUACAGAAACAGUGACAACCACUACUCAAGGUAAGUGAAAAGGUACAGAUGUGGCCAAAUUUAUAAAUAAAUUGUUAAUUAAUUAAUUUUUCCGUAUUAUUAAUAAAGCGAAAUUCGUUGCUCCUUCCUUCUAAAUCUAAACAGAGUUGCACAAUUUCACCAACUUGGAAUAUUUGUCAUUGGACGAUUCCUCUCUCAAUUUAAGCCUUCUGCGAAGCAUUGCAUCAUUAUUCCCUUCAUCAUUAUUCCCUUCAUUAAAAAAUCUUUUUCUUCAUUAAAAAGAAAAGCGUUGAUUGUGAACUCACUCAAUGGUUUCCUACGUGUUCAACAUGUUUGUUUAUUUAUUUUAUUGUUUAAUGUUUCUGCUAGGUUUUCCUCAUUUCAAGAGUUUGGAACAUUUGGACAUGAUGUCCACGCGCAUUGCACUCAACACCAGCUUUCUUCAAAUCAUCGGUGAAUCGAUGCCUUCUCUUAAGUACUUAUCGCUGUCAGAUUCUAACAGCAGCAGGAUUCUUGAUCGAGGUUAAUCAGAUGCUCCCACCCUCCCUUCUUAAUCUAUAAUAUUAAUUUUCAAUUCAAUAUUCAAUUACACAAACCAAUCACUUAUUAUAAAUGAAUAAUACGCAUUCAUUAAUUUUUAUAUUGUAUUAAUAAUUGAUGAAUUUAAUAAAUUUUCAGGCCUCUGUUCGUUGGUGCAUCUACAAGAGUUGUACAUUGAUAAUAAUGAUUUAAGAGGUAGCUUGCCUUGGUGCUUGGCAAAUAUGACAUCCCUCCGAAUAUUAGAUGUUUCUUCCAAUCAACUUACGGGAAGCAUCUCCUCAUCUCCCCUCGUUCAUUUGACAUCCAUUGAAGAGUUGAUGCUUUCAAACAAUCACUUCCAGAUCCCAAUUUCACUUGAACCAUUUUUCAAUCACUCAAGACUUAAGUUUUUCUAUGCUGAAAAUAACCAAAUAAAUGCAGAAAUAACUCAGUCACAUUCUUUGAUCCCCCCAAAAUUCCAAUUAUCACGUCUCUCAUUGUCUUCCGGUUAUGAAGAUGGCGUCACAUUCCCCAAAUUCCUUUACCAUCAACAUGACCUGGAGUAUGUUGAUCUCUCACACAUAAAGAUGAAUGGAGAAUUUCCAACUUGGUUGUUGGAAAACAACACAAAGUUGAUACAACUUUCUGUCGUCAAUGAUUCUCUUGCAGGACCUUUUCGGUUGCCAAUUCAUUCACACAAGCAGUUAAGACUGUUGGAUAUAUCCACCAACAACUUCCGAGGCCACAUUCCAGUAGAAAUUGGAGAUGUUUUACCAAGUUUAUACGUUUUCAACAAUUCCAUGAAUGCUUUAGAUGGUAGCAUUCCCUCUUCAUUUGGUAAUAUGAAAUUCCUCCAAAUUCUAGACUUAUCCAACAAUCACUUGACUGGUGAAAUCCCCGAGCACUUGGCCGUCGGUUGCGUCAACUUGGAGUCUCUUGCAUUAUCAAACAACAACUUAGAAGGUCAUAUGUUCUCCAGAAACUUCAACCUGGCAAACUUGAAAUUGUUACAAUUGGAAGGCAAUCGCUUCGUAGGAGAGAUCCCACAAAGUUUGUCUAAAUGCUCUUCACUAGAAGGAUUGCAUCUUAAUAAUAAUAGUCUCUCGGGUAGGAUUCCACGAUGGUUGGGUAAUCUCACAUGGUUACAAUAUAUUAUAAUGCCCAAUAAUCAUCUUGAAGGCCUUAUUCCAGUGGAGUUUUGUCAGCUUGAUUCGCUUCAGAUUUUGGACAUUUCAGACAACAACAUAUCUGGAAGUUUACCAGCUUGUUUCCAUCCUCUCUCUAUCAAACAAGUUCAUCUUUCAAAAAAUAUGUUACAUGGACAGCUAAAAAGAGGUACAUUCUUUAAUUGCUCUUCCCUUGUGACAUUAGAUCUUAGCUAUAACCGCUUGAAUGGCAGCAUUCCGGAUUGGGUUGAUGGACUUUCUCAGUUAAGCCACCUUAUCUUAGGUCACAAUAAUCUUGAAGGUGAAGUGCCAGUUCAAUUGUGCGAAUUGAACCAACUACAAUUGUUAGAUCUUUCUAAUAAUAAUCUUCACGGUCCUAUUCCUCCUUGCUUUGAUAACACCACACUUCAUGAAAGUUACAACAAUAGUUCUAGUCCUGAUGAGCAAUUUGAAAUAUUUUUUUUCAUCGAAGGCCCUCUGGGAGAUUUAAAAGAGCAAAUCCAUGAAAUUUUUGAGUUCACAACAAAGAACAUUGCGUACAUUUACCAAGGAAAAGUGCUUAGCCUCCUAUCAGGACUUGAUCUUUCUUGCAACAAGUUAAUCGGUGAUAUUCCUCCUCAAAUUGGAAAUUUGACAAGGAUUCAAACAUUGAAUCUAUCACACAACAACUUGACAGGAUUGAUCCCAUCAACAUUUUCAAACUUGAAGCAUAUCGAAAGUUUGGAUCUUUCCUACAAUAAAUUGAAUGGGAAAAUCCCUCAUCAACUUGUGGAGUUAAAGGCAUUGGAGGUUUUCAGUGUGGCAUACAAUAACUUAUCAUGCGAAAUUCCAGAAUGGGAAGCACAAUUUGCAACCUUCAACGAGAAUAGCUAUGAGGGAAAUACUUUUCUUUGUGGACUGCCAUUGCCCAUUUGCAGAUCACCAGCAACUACGCCGGAGGGUUCAAUCGGCAAUGAACGAGAUGAUAAUUUAAUUGACAUGGACAGUUUCUUUAUCACAUUUACAACAUCGUACGUAAUUGUGAUAUUCGGAAUUGUUAUUGUUUUAUAUGUAAAUUCUUAUUGGCGACGUAAAUGGUUUUACUUUGUUGAAAUGUGGAUAACUUCAUGUUAUUAUUUUAUUGUAGACAAUCUUAUUACAACAAGAUAUUGUCAUUGAAAUUAAUUAGCAGUUUAAUUACGAUUCUUUAAGUUCUAAUCAAGUUUGCACUUGAUCGCCUAUUUUACUUUAAAAAAUAAUGAUUAUGGUGCUAUCAUCAUCUUCUUCACUAGCAACAUUAACACCAAAUCCAGCGAUGGACCCAGACAUUUUAUCAAGAUAUAUAUAAUAAAGUUGAAGCUUGACAAAAAAUUUAGGAAGAUUAAUGCCUCGCCACAACAAGGGGCACAACAACAUCAAAGCAGAGAUGAAGCAAUAUUCUCAAAGCUAAAACUCUCCAAUCCACCCACCAGAAUUUCAUAUCUCCUCAACAAUUUUAAGAACUAAAGAUAAUUAGGAUAUAACAUUAGUUUUUUAUAUAUUAGUUUCAUAAUUUACAAAUCAAUGAAGAUGAAGAUUAUGUUAAUGAAUUCAAAUUAUACCAUACAUUCUCGAGAUGCUACCAAAAAUUUCUAAGUCAAUCCCACAUAUUUCAUAAUUUUAAGACUAGAAAAUUUCAUUAGGUAGAAGUUUCAUUACCUUCAAGUGGAAGAUGAAGAACAUUAUACAAUUGAUUCAGAUUAUAUCAUACAUACUCCAAAUGCAACUAGAAAUUAACAAGUUCAUGCGCACAGAUUUCAUAACAUUAUGAAUGGAAAGUUUCACAAAGAGAAAUUAUAAAUUCAAUCUCUUGCAUCAAGGUAGUUUGAUUGAUUUGAGUUACUUUCUGAUCAAGCUAUUAAUAUAACAUUCAAGUCAGGGAGAAAGUAAAUUAAAACUGGGAAGAAAUAACAGUAAAAAUUUGUUGCUAAACAUGAUGUGUAUUUUUUUUUUAAGGCAAUUUGGAAACACAGUUGUUACUACAGAUAUUCUCCUCAACUUAGAGAUAAUACAAAUAUUAAAAUGCAUAUGAUCGCACAUAUUACUUGGAGCUUAGUAAGAUUUCAUUAAGAGAAGCAAUCAAACCACUUAUCGUUGCAAUCGUUCUAUAAGCUAAAAUAGCAAUAUAAUACAAGAAAAAGAACAUAUAGAUACUUGGCAAGAGUUCAUUAAGAAGUCGCAUCACAUUCGGGUGAGGAGUUUGCUUCUGAUAUCUUGCUAGCUGCGGCUUUUUCUUGUCUUUCUACGUAUGCCGAGGGAAACCAACCAGCUUGGCCCUUGCAUUCACCUUCCGACCAUCCAGUAGGAGCCACCUUGAGAAGUUAUAACUAAAACAGUGAAUUAAACAACAGUUGACUGUUCAAAGACCUAAGGGGAAAUUCUUUUACGUAGGAGGAGUGAAUUAGUUGUGAUCACUGAAAUAACAGCAUAACUAUGGAAGCAUAACAAGAUAUAAAUUCACACGUCUAUAAGGGUAAACUGGGUGGUUUAGAACUGAGCUAGCAACCCUACUAUAUUCUGAUUUGCACUUCAAUGUAAAAGGGAAUAUAUGGUAGGAAGAAAGAAAACCAACCAUCAUUUGUUAACUCAUUGCUUUUCAAUCAAAAUUUUAAGAACAAAAUGCCAUGUGCUUUGAACAUCAAAUAAGUAUAAGCAUUAGUUCUAAAUUCCACAUAUCAUAAUUUAGAAGGAUAAGUUAAUAGCAUAGUAGAAAAAUCUAUGUGUUGUUAUUUAGAGGGGAAAGUACCCGGCGAACCACAACAUAAUCAUCAAUUGAAAGACUUAGCUCUCCAUUUGCUUGAGCAUCAAAUGGAUGUAUAACCUGCAAGAUAAUGGGAUAAAUAGAACUUAAUCUUAAAAAAAGCAUAACAAAAGCAGCAACAGUAGCAGCAGCGUUCAUUGUAACCACUAUGAUCAUGGCCAACAAAGAUAUAUUAGAAACAAAAUUCCAUUUUUACUACGACAUUAAUAUGUACUAUAUGAUAUCAUGACGAUUGGGUUACCAAGAGCUAUCAAAGUCCAAUAAGUUCUGUAGAACUUUAUGUAGUUAUUCAAAUUAUGGAUCAGAUUUUAAAUCUGAAAUUUUGACUGCUCUCCACAAAACAUGGCCUACGCACAAGAAAGUCAUAGAUAAUGAGGAUUACAAGUGGCUGACAUCUUUUGAGGGAUGGAUUUAACAUGAGAGCUUAUGGUCAGUCAAUUUCCUCCGCCUAGCAAUAUAAGCUUUCUCGGCCAGAUUUAUCAUCAAAUACAUAGAUUGCCCCAAGUCACAUCCAUAUAAACAUAGUUUUUCUAGGUAAACCAAGCAAGGAGAAUCAUAAUUCAGACAUAAUCAUAAAAAGGCCCAUCUAACUUAAGAGAAAAUCUCAAAAAGAGGGAUGUUGAGCUAUCAGUCUUGUAUCCAUAAGGAAUGUCAAGACUUUACAUCACCUGCUACAUCGUGAGUGGCUACACAACUUUCAGUGGUUUGUCUUUCUUUGGCAUGCCUAACUCAGCUUUGAUGUUGCUGAGAUAUUGAUAGUAGAGACACAUGAUACUUCUAGCUCAUGCAUUCUAUCUAGCUCAUCCGACAACUAUCUCUUUUUUAAUUCAUUAGUGUUUGCUAAACCUCAUGCUUAAAAGUCCUGUUGUUCUAAACAAAGUUUCCUAAGAAUGACUUCCUCAGCACCACAUUUGGACACUUUUAGAGCAAUUUUAUUUGGGGGAAAAGAAUUUUCAAGGUGUUAACUAAUAAAUUUUAAAAAAUAAUUACAAUUUGUCCUACAAUUAUAUGACAAUUUAUUUGGGAUGAAAGGAUACAGACAGACAUCUUCCACUUUCAAGACUAAUCACUACUUCCGUAGAUGUUUUGCAAUAAUAAAAAUACUUGACCAGAUGGUAGAAAAAAAUUUUAUUGCUCCAAAAUUAAAAUAGGAAUGCAAUAUGUUAAGCAAAAGACUGUGCAACAUCAAAUUAAUUGAUAAGUUUGUAAUUCAGUAAAUUAACAACUUUCAUGGUCAAAUAUAACAAAUUUCUUUUAAAAAAAAAUUAAAAAUAAAUAAAUCUUAAAAGACAACAUUCAAUUUUGUGCGCAUCUUAUUUCUUAAGAUUUUCCAGGAGGGCAAUAGAGGGACUUUCACCUAUGCAAUAGAGAGAAGAAGCCUUACUUUCGCUAUAAAGUAGACGUCAUUCUGAUUAAUAUGCGUUUGCAAAUCAGCUCCAUUUGAAUCAGUAUUCUGAUAGACACACGAGGCAUUUACAUCCAUUUCCAAAGUCACAUGUUGCGAGGAGGACUCAUUUGAUUGCUCCUCUAGGAUCAUCUAAUUCAAGUAGCAAGGGUUGGAAGAGAAUAAAAAGUCACAAUUAUUCUUUUGCAUAAGUGAGACGAAGAUGAUAAAUGCAAUAUUAUCAGCAGUAAUAACGUGUUGAUGAUAUGCUUUCUCAGCAUCUACCUGCAAAGGCCCGAGACCAGGAAAACAACAAUAAAACCACUAGCUAAAGGAGAAAGUAAAGAAAGAAAUACACUUGACAUAAAUCUUGACAAGAAGCACAAUUUAAGACAUAACAAACCCCAAUCAUAUUGUUUAGAACUACCAUUCGUUAUUUCGUUAUUGUUGCAUUUCGAACAAGUGUUGACUUAAUUCAACAUUGUUGGAAAGAUAGGCUUUUAGAAGCGGAAGAAAGCCACUCAAACCAAAGUGAUUGUCCUUGUAUUGAUCAAGGGAUGUAAACAUAUUACAUUUGCAGGAUGAGUUUUAAUCACUCCCCUGAUUUAUUUGGGUUGCAGUAAAACUAAGCGAGCAACUGUUUGACCUUCAAGCAACAUCUGAAUCAGCUAUUAAAAUUCAAAUAAAAUCAUAAUAGAAUAAUAACAGGCCAUCUUGCAUCAAAAAUUAAGUUUAAUUUGUGAAUUUUUUUCCAUAGACAUGUUAGCUCCUGCUAUUGAAAUGUUAAAAGCAUUGAAAAAUUAUUCAAUAAAUUAUGCAAACAUUAAAAUAGAGGACACAUUAAAAUGUUUCUAAUUACAAUGUUAAUAUUUCCUAUAUUUUAGCAUUUGAAUAUUUUAAUUUAUUUAAAAGCUACGUCGAUCAACUUUGGGCGUGAAGAUUUUAGCUUCUACGAGACUUGAUUGGAAUAUGCAUAAGGAAGAGUGUUAAAAUAUGAUGCAUCCAACGAAAGACAAACCACGUGUAGUCUUUUAAUUAAGCCAAAGUAGCAGCUCAAACAAAUGACACUUGGACCAACAUGCAAUCAUGAAGUGGCCGGAAAAAGGACAAAUGCAACUUUGGCUUAAAUAAAAAAUAACAUGUGACUUGACUUUUGCUGGACAUGCAUCAUGUUAUUACAAGACAACAGAAAUCAGUAUGAUUGUACUAAAAGUUGACAAUCACAUGAAGAUAAGAGGCAGAAUGUCAACACAUGCAUAGGCACACACAAGAAAGUAUUAACUUAUAUACCAUAGCAAAAAGUCUUUGAUAUGUCAUCUGUUGCUGCUGUGAUUCAACUGACAGCAUGGCAGCUGUUGCUUCUCUACCAAGAGCCAUUAUUGUAGAUUUAAGCUCGGUCAAUCUUGCUUCUGCAUUUCGAAGCUUCACAGCACUCUCUGCUGAUAUAUCAGAUUCCCUAAUCUUUGAUCGGCGCCUAAAUACUUCAGCUGCCUGGUGAAAAUAUUCAAUAUAAAUCUAACAUAAUUCUAAUCUUACCUGGGCUUCAACUUCAUGUCGAAGUUUGUCAUAACGAUGAGUCAGGUGUCGAGCAUCUUCCAAAGGUGCUCCGUUGAUUAACGCCCGUAGUGGCUCAGAUACCUACAUGUCCAAAAACCUGUAACAUAGUUAGAAAAAUGAAAAGAAAGAGCGAAACCUCAAUUAAAAAGUUCCUCCAACAUAAUCAUGGAAUUUGGGCCUACUUCAAGGAUAUAUAUAAGGAUAAUUUAUGCAAUUUUGGGUCUUAGGAUGAUUCAUAUUAGGUUAGUGUUCUUCUCUUCUGUAUUUAAGGUUAAAAUAGAAAUAAACCUAUGCAAAUAUAUAAAUUAGGGCUGUAAGACUUCCACAUGCAUCCUUCAGUCUCAUGGAUUUGAUUUUACUAUAGAUGCAAGUGUCGUUAUCGAAAAUGCUUGGAGUCAAUUGAGAGAACUCACGGCCAAAAACUUGUCACACGCUAGUCUUUGCUAGUGAUGUAAGAAGUCACAAGGUCUCUUCAACAUUUGAACCAAUAAAAUUAUUAAGUCAUGGAUGUCACUAGCAAUGAUUUUAAUAUAAAACAUUAAAUAUUUCAGAGUUGUAACUUUAAAAUGGAUUCUUUUAUUCAAUAUCUUAGAACUAAGUUUCCUUAUGAGAAGAUAAUAGUUUCAGUAGUAAUUUACAUAUAAUUUUCUAUAUUUGAAUUAUUUUCUAGUUAGGGAUGAACUAACCUGAUCACGAAGAAUCCCAAGCAAAGUUUCCCUCUCAUUUUCCAUCAAAUCAUGUGAAGUGCCAAAUUGAACAGCAGCUCUUGCAACGCAAGAAUUGUCACUCUGAUUCUCCGCUCCAUACUUGCAACAAUCUUCGGCCAACUUUCUCGCUACAAUAUUUGAAUACAAAAAUAUUGUACACAAGAACUAGUCAAGAAAAAAAAAAAAAAUCAAAUAUUAUAACGAGAGCAAGAGCAAACGAACAACCUAUUUCCAUUUGUUUCAAGCUUACUGCAACAAACACUUCAACGCCACGGACAACAUUCCUCUGAAAAUGCUGCGCUACAGAGCAUAUAUUCCAAAUUAUUGUUCAGAUAAAACCAUAGAAACCAUCAUAAUUAUUCAACAUACAUUAAGCUCCGUUUGGUAAAUACUUGCAACUUCAGUCUAGAAAAUACAGUUAAUUUUUAUUUAAAAAAACAUCAUAAUUAUCAACAUACAUAUUUGACAAAAUUAUUAUUUAAAAAUCAUAACUAAUUACCAAAAGCCACAAUAAAUCAAUAUCAAACAGAGUCUUAUUAUUAGCUAAAGGAGGAUGGUGCCUUAGCUGCCCUGGUGGAAUUGUAUAGAUUUUGAAGUUGUUGGUGACACUCAAUUUCAGCUUCAUCAACCGCAACAUUUUCAAUGCCAAGAUGGAGCAGAUGCUUCAAUACUGCCUGUACAAACCAUAAAAAACUAAUGAAAAAUAAAUAAAAUCGAGAAAUUUCACUAAUUAAAAGUCUAAAUAAUUCAAAAACAAAAAAAGAAAAGAAACGGACUUGCUGCUGCUUGGCGACUUGUUCUCGGAGCUUGAUUGCCUGUUUCUUGAUAGCUUCCAUACUGUUUCUUUCAAAAAGCGACGACGGCUCAGCUCAUGGAAGUGGAAAAAAAAAAGUGUGAUCGAGAAAAAUGAAAAGGCGUGAAUAAUUUUUGACAAAAAGCGAAAAUCAAGGAAAGCCGGCUCUUUCCAGAAAAUAAAAAAGAAAAAAGAAAAUUAUAAGUUUGAAAGGAGAAGAUGAUAGUGGAAGUGUGCGGUGUGGCUGCCAGCUACUUGAAUUAUAAGAAAUUUUUUUUUUUUUUUGAGAAAAAUAGUAGAGAAUUUUUUAAGAAUCUAGAAUAACUGCAUCACUUCUUAAUCGCUUGCUUUAACUGCAUCGCUCUCUUUGUGCUCUUCUAUAUAUGUAACGGUUAUGCGGUUGUAGUUCACCACUGAGGCUACAUGUUGGUUUGAUGUGGCAGUUACGUUACAAGGGGAUAAAUAAGAUUGGUUUCAACAAACCCACUAAUUUUAUAAAAUUCGAGUAAUAUAGAAUAAAAUAAAAAAAUAAAUACAAAAUGGGGGAAACCUUAGGUGCAACUGUGGCACCGUGCCACAGUUGCAUCUAGCCGUUGGAUGUCAGUGGACCCUAUUAAUCCAACUGCAUCCAACGGUUAGAUGCAACUGUGGCACGGUGCCACAGUUGCACCGUAGUCUGAUCCUACAAAAUGGGCUUUUACUUUUUAUGGUUGACUAUAUUUUGUGUUCUCUUCUGGCACUACUACAAUUGUUCCCUAUAUAUCAGUCACAGCCAUAUAUCAUUAACACAAGAAAUGAAAUCUAAUGUCACCUAUUUAGUUAAAGAAUCACUCAUGAAAAAAAUUUACCAUUUUGAUUUGAGGAUCCAUAUUUUGAACUGCAAGCUAAUGUUCAUUAAGAAUCCCUAAUGUUCAUAAAAAUCAGAGUAUGGCCAUUGAGUAGAAAAACUAUUUUUGGACAAAUUAUUUUUGUUGAUAGAAGAAUUUCUUAAGGGACUACUAAAAUUAUUAAUAAAAAUGUAGAACACACCCACAUAUCAUCGACACAAUUGACUUUGAGGAUCCAUGCUUUGAAUUGCUGCCUAAUGUUCAUCAAGAACAGAGUAUGACUUGUGAGUAGAAAAUUUUAUGAUUUUGGCCCGAAAUAAAAGGAAAUUAAAUUAGAUGAGAAUCUGCCACUUUCUCAUGAAGAAAGGCAUACGGAGCAUACCAUGGUACCAUACAAUACAAAGAGUCUCUGUUCUCUGGUUUUUCAAACUCUGAAGGGGCCAAUAUUCCCGAAUUCCCCCUUGAAAAUUCUGAUUACGACAUUAUCCAUCGCUUGACGCAAUCAAAGUAGCGACAAAGUUAUGAAAAAUAUGAGUCCUAAGUAAUUGCUAGGUAGGGUUCCUGAGAGUAAAAUUGUCCUAAGCAUUAUAUGCAUACAUGGUGUGGUACAUAGAGCACGUUGAAUUCCCCACUAUAACACAAACCCAGAAAGACAAGUAAUAACUCAACUGAUACAAAGACAAAAAGAAGAUAAAAUGAUAUAGAAAAAAGAAUUUCAAAGAGACAGCAACAUACGAUAGACUGAAGCCACUUGAUCUGCUCAUUGAUUGCAGCCUUAAACUCGCAAAUAGUUACUGUACGCUAGUGCUCUAAGAAGUGAAAAUGAUGCGAGCCCUGAUUCCCUUUUGACUUCCAUUUAUUGUCAAACAUUCUAGUAAUACAAAAAAUUGUUUAGAUAUCUCGCUAUAAAUAUAGCCGUUUGACUGUCAUAAUAAAGUCACAAAUAACCAUUCAUAUUGAUCCACUGUCACACAACAUGCUUUAUGCAUACAACAACUGUAUGUAUACCAACUCCUAACCUUAUCAAUACAUUUGGCAAAAACUUAAGAAGAAAACUAUUUCUCCAUCUCUUUUUUGAAAUUUCACAAUAAACCAGCACAUUGUAAACGUUAUGUUGUAACCUUAUGAUAAAUGCUCUAGACUCCAAAUGAAUUUUAUAUAUGAGGGUUUGUUGCAGCAGAUAUAUUGACUUAUCAAGUAUGAAUCAUUGUCUAGAAGAACUAUCUUUAGAUAAAAGAACAUUAGAACCACUAUAGAAUAUCUUUAGGCUGCUGGUUCUAACAGGAAUCUGCGUGUGGCAACAAUUGCUAGAUCCACAAUUCCCCAACUUGAAAUACAUAGUUGCACACCGUGAGAUAGUGCUGCAAUCUACUGAGAUCUAACUUAUAUGAUAUUUUAAGCUACUAAUGUUUGCAUAUUUCUACAUGUUAAAUUAAGCAGCUUUUGGCCACUUAUUACUAGCAUCCACAAUUAAUUUUUGUUCAGUAAUCAGCUUAUUUUAAAGAAAUUGAUUUAGUCAACAAGAAACACUAUAAUCCUUGAAAUUAGUUCUUGUUCUUUGUAAUUAUGUAUGAUCUUUCAUACAUCAAUUAAUCUGCAGUACCAAGAUGAGGUUUUCAGAGAAUUGGGGGUGAACUAGCUAGGUGGUUUACUGUUAAAGAUAUAGUUGCAGCUGAGCUAAACAGAGUAGCUGGAGGUUGCUGAAGCACGUGUGAAAUAAGCAGAGCAGAUGGUGCAAGCUGAAGCUGAUGUGUCAGACUGAAGCUGACGUGUCAAGAAGAAUAUUGUGCAUGAAUACUCUGUUAUAACUGCCUGACAUGUGGCAAGUGCUAAUAGGCUGAACUAAAUCUAAGUUGUUAUUAGUUAGAUUAAUAGCUGAUAGAACUAUAAAUUGAGCUAAAUAAGCUCAUUACUGUAAUCGAUUCUUUUCUGAAUAGAAUCAAGAAGUUUCCGUUUAUAUUCUCUCUGAUUUUCUUUGUUUCCAAACACUUUAUUACAAAAUCUAAUAUUUACAAAUAUUCCAAUUUAUAAGGUGAAUUAAUUGAAUCAUGAGAAAACAAUGUGGCCAUAGCUCCUCAAUAUGAGAUGAUUUCGGAGAGGCAUAUUGUUUUCAAGUGAAUUUGAUCCAUUAAGAGAUGAAGUGGAUUGAAGUGGAAAGUUUAAAUAACAAAUCCUUGUUCUUGAGUUUUACGACGUCGUUACUCCUUCAGGUGGCAGAUUAUGCAAGUGAAUUAAAAAACACAAUGCAUCAAUCACGGGGAUGCUACAUCAAAAGACGGGAUCAUAGUCUAUGCAUUGAACAGUUACAGUUGCUGCUACCAAUUGCUUCGGCAAAGAUCAAGAAGACUGAACGGGAAGUUAAUGCCAUCAAUGUCGUCUUCACUAUAGCUGCUGGGAAUGUAGGUGAACUUUCCUCAUUUGCAGCUGUCUAUACAUAGGCUUUUCCCCAGCUUAAGUACAAAUAAAUGAACCUGCCUUGAAGGCUUUAUUAUUGACCCCAAUAAGGAUUACUAAUUGAAGAAGACUAUACGGAGUUAAUCCCACACUCUCGUUCUCUCAAUUUCUUUCAGAAGUGCCUCUGAAAAUAGCUGCCAAACCGUUAGUCAGCUUGUAUACUCUGUUUUCUGGAAACAGAGCCCUCACUAACUGACUGUACAGAGUAAGUCAACAUAGCAUAUUUAAUCGUUUUAAUUGAAUUAUCUUCGCAGCGAUCAUCAACAAACUCAUCAUAAGAUAUUUGAAGCACCCAAGGACUAUCACUGGGUUUCUCUUCUGGUUGAUUUAUUAAUUAAUCAUAGAACGGUUGGAUACCCAGCGACAAUUAAAAUUAUUCGACUUCUGGAACUAGGAAUGAAGUGCAAUGAUGGAGCAAAAUUUACAAUGUCUCCGGUUUCUCCUGACCAUCGGACUUUUGCAGUGAGAACAUAUAACAAAAAGGCCUUCAUCAAAAUUUGUAGACUCCGGGUAUGGAUUGGAUUGAGUUUUUUGUUUGAUAUUGAAGAACCUCUUUACUAUCGCGAUAUAGAUUAUGUGCAAGGAGUUGUCUACUGUUCUUUGCCUUGUGCUAUGAUCGGUGCUCUUGAGGCUGCCCUGAAACACAGGAAAAUACUUCGAUAUCCUCCGUUCGAUGAUGCAAAGAACCGGUUAAUGUAUGAUUACCUAAUUGACUCAGGAUCAGGUAACAACAACAACAAUUUAUUAAUAGUAAUAUCACAAACGAAGAAGAUUUCGGAGAGGGAGAUGUAUGCGUAUACUGUUUACAGGUUUGAUCCACUGGGGAUGAAGUGGUCUCAAGUGGAAAGUGAUUUAUUAAACAACAAAUCGUUGUUCUUGGGUUAUACCUCAUGAUGUCAUCAAGUGGAAGAUGAAGAUUAUGCAAGACGAAGAUCGUUUGAUAUUGAAGAAUUUGAACAGAAAGCCCAUAGAAAGUACUUAAAUAAGCAUAUUCUUGUUGGGGUAGAAUAUUGAGAAAGGAGUUGUCUACUGUGUGUUGCGUGAUUAUGCUAUGAUCGGUGCUUUCAACAUUGCCCUGAAAACAGUGGGAAAUACUUCAUAUCCUCGACAUGAUGAUGAAAAAUUGGUUACCGAUUACCUAAUUGACUCAGGUGACAACAAUCCAUUAAUAGCACAAUUUGACGUGAUGCCGUUUAGGUAUAUGGUUUUCAAGUUUGAUUCAUCAGUGAUGAAGCGGACUAAAAUUAAAAGUUUAAAUGAUAAGUCAUUGUUCUUGGGCAUAUCGUCAUUACUACUUCCAGUGAUCAACGAUGAAGAUGAAGAUGAAAAUUGUGCGAGUUCAAGAUUACCAUUUAUCAUUACUUGGGAUAUUACUUCAACAUAGAUGGGGUUAUAAUUUACUCCCACGAACAUCAACUCAACUUUAUGAUUGGAGUGUCUCACCGUGACUCAGACAAAUUCUGAUUCAACCUCCUUCACCAAUGGAUUUUGAUUAGUUAUUUUGUGAUCAAGCAACUUAAUUAAACUCAGUUUGUUAGUCUAAUUUUAGUUUUACUGUGACCACUAUUCAAGGUAAGCGAAAGUUACAGAUGUGGCAAAAUCAAUAAUUAAAUUCAUAAAAUGUUAAAAAAUAAAACUUAUAAAUGUUGCAUGACUACUUACUAAUAAAUAAAUAAGUUAGAAUGUAGUUAGUUAAUUUUACACCAUAUUAUAUAUUAUUCGAUAAUAAUAUAAAAUAAAAAUAAUUAAAAAAUAAAUAAUUGAAUAAACAAAUAUGGCUUUCUAAACAGUAAAAAUUCUAGAGUUAAAAUUUAUAUUAUUAUUUUAUUUUUUAAAAUUGACAUUUUUCUAUUGUCUUACAUGUAUAAAGAUUUUGAGAGUUGAGAAGAAUAUAUUUAAUGAAGCUUGAUAACAUUUGAUGGGAUAGCAAGUAAGGGUAAAUAAGAUAUUUUUAUUUGUUAUUUAUUUGAAUUAUAUCUAUUUUGUUCAAGUUAAAAUACUAAAUAUAAAUUGGAGGUAGACAUUUUAACAGAUCAUCUAAGCUCUCAAAUCUGAAAUUUUGUGUAGAUUUAAAUUCAUAAUUUUAGUUAAUUUUCAUACAUUCAUAUAAACAAAUUUAUGAGAUUUUUCUUUUCAGCAUGUUAUAUUUUGAAACUUUCAAUGUAUUAUUCUAGCUUUAUUUAAACAAUUAAUUUAUUUAAAAUUUAUUUAAUUUUGAAUUUGAUCAGUAGUAAAAUUAUUUUUAUAUCAAAUUUUUUUAUUUAAAUAGUUCGUGGAUUGGACAAAAUUAAAAAUUUUUAAUCCACAAAAUGGUGGAUUAGAUAUGAAUUAGGUUAAAUCCACAUUCGAUCUGCAGUGGUAUGAAUUUGAUUUGGAUUGAAUUUCAUCAAUUCAUGGAUUAGAUUGGAUUGAAAAUUUAUUAUCCGUAAAAUCAUGGAUCGAAUAUGGACUAAUGUCCAAUCAGCAAAAUCCGAUCCCCGAACACGCCUCUAUCAAAAUUUUCAAGAAUAUGUUUUAUCUUACAAAUUUUUUUUAAAGUCAUAGUCUAAUGGCAGCCCAAUUUUAUAAAGUCACACACAACCAUUCUUAUUAAAUUAGCAAGAUCAAACACUGCACUGGAUCUUGAACAGAUCAACACAAGUUGCACAACUUGCGAUUGAAUUCGGCCAGAAACAAUCAACUCUUUAGCAAGAACAAUUAAUCAGAGUCAAGAAACAAGUUUAAUGAAUAUAAACCUAUAAUUGAAACAAACAUAGCCAAGAAAAAAAUACAGAUUUUACACGGUUCAGUUGUACCCAGGAUGGCACAACCUACACCACGAGAGAAGCUUUCUGGUGAGAUUUUAUUGAUGAUCAAAGAAGAAUCUUUUGACAAAGCUAAUAAUAGAGAUUUCAGAGAAUAAGCUAUGACCCUCUCUCCCUCUUCAAUCUCUCUUUAUUUUGUUCCCAUUGAUGACCCCAAUCUGCUUAGUUAGCCAGCUUUAUAGCUGCAUCAGUAACAAACCAGCAAACCCAGAUUGAGCAGAUUGACGACACGUGGAUAACGGCUUUAACGAACCUGGUUAAGAACUGCUCACAUGUUCGUCACGCGUAGGGAUGGCAAAUAUCCAAUUAUGGAUGGAUAAUAUCCAUCCAAACACAAAUCCAUAAUUAUCCAUAAUAGAUAUAUCCAUAUCCAUAUCUAGUAUUUAAUAUUGGACAUGGAUAUGGAUUUUAUCCAUAUAACUAUGGAGAUCCAUGGAUAUCCAUGGAUAUUUUAUUUUUAUUAUAUAAAAAUAAUAAUAUAAAAUAGUUAAAAUAUCCAUAUCCAUAUAACUAAUAAUAUAUAUAUAUAUAUAAUAAAAUGGCGGUCCGGUAGUCGGUGGCGGCGGUCCGGCAACUUUCCGGCAAAUUCCGGCGAAAUUCCGGCGACGGUCCGCGCGAUGUCCGACGGUGGUCCGGCAACUUUCCAGUGAAUUUCGGCGGAGGUCCGGCGACAUUCCGGCGUGGUCCGGUGGUGGUCCGGCGACUUUCCGGUGGAUGUCCAUUUAUAAUAUUAAAUUAAUAAAAUAAAAUAAUAAUUAUUAAUAGUAUUAAAUAAGUUAAAAAAUUAAAGGAUAAUUUUGAAAACUUUAGUUUUUAAUAUAAGAGGAAUUUAAAAUUUUCACUAGUUAAUAUAAUAUUUUUAUAAUUGUUUGUUUAUUAUAUUUUUUAUUUUUUAUUUUAUAAAAUUAAAAAUUUUUUAAACUUGUGUUGGGUUAAACGGAUAUUCAUUGGGUAAAAAUAAUUAUCUAUAUCCAUCCAUAUCCAUCUGGAUAUAAUUUUAAAAUAUCCAUUUCAAAAUCCAAAAAUUUUUGGAUGGAUAUUAUCCGAUCUAAUUGGAUAGAUAUUGUGGAUAUCCAUUAUGGAGCGAUCCAAUUGCCAUCCCUAGUCACGCGUGCUGCUUAAAUGAUGGCCAAAACGACUUCAAACAAAUGUCGUUUUGAGGCUUAUGAAUUACAAGUGAUAACACGAGCUUGUCUCAUGACUUUUAAAUGCAACAGCGUGCCCAAAACGCCGUCGUUUUACUCUGUUGAGUUUGAUUCAUUACUAAGCUUUACGACUGGCACUGGAGAAGAUGAUAAUUUAAUUUACAUGGACAGUUUUUAUAUCACUUUUACAACAUCCUAUGCAAUUGUAAUAUUGGGAAUUAUUGAUGUUUUAUUCUGUGAAUCCUCAUUGGCAAAAACUAGUGGUUUUAUCUUUGUUGAAAUGUAAAUGACCUCUCGUUACUAUUUUAUUAUAAACAUAUAGUUUCGUAAGUGAAACUACAUGUUUAUAAUAAAAUUAACAUAUAGUUUCGUUACAUUUCUGCCUCAUUAAGAUUCUCAAAUACCAGUCAGGUUUGCUUAAGAAAUAAAAUUUUUCCAUUAAAAUUGCAGUAGUAUUUCCAAGCAUAUCGCAUUUUCUAUGAUUUUUCAUAAAUUAAUUAAUCUGCGGUGCCAAUAUCAGAUUUAGUUUUUCAAACUAAAUAAUCAAGAAAGCAAACAUACAAAUAUACAGUUUAGAGGGGUAAACUAGGCAGGUGGUUUAGAUUUUAGAACUAAGCCAGCUACCUCACUAAAUUCCGAUUCGUACAGUGAACUGCAAGAAAUUGAGAAAACAAUGAAUUUAUAAUUUAAUAGAAUCAUAAGAAAACAAUGUAGUCAUUGCUCCAUAUAAGAUGAUGAUUUCGGAGAGGCACAUUGUUUUCAAGUUAAUUUGAUCCGUUUAUAAGAGAUGAAGUGGAAUCAAGUUGAAAGUUUAAAUAACAAAUCCUUGUUCUUGAGUUUUACGACGUCGUUACUCCUUCAAGUGGCAGAUUAUGCAAGUGAAUGCAGAAACACAAUGCAUCAUCCGCGGGGAUGAUACAUCAAAAGGCGGGAUUUGUUUAUGCCUGCAGAUUAGCAAUUUCACUCAUAUAGAAAAUUAAUUUUUUAUAUAUACUAAUCAACACUAAAUUGAUUAUGUGUUGUAUGUUUAUAUGCUAAUCAACACGAAAUUAUAUUGAAUUAUUAACAUUCAUAUUCCUAAUAAAAAUUAUUUUCCAUCAGUAUUCAAAAUUUUCACUUAUGGAAAAUGCGUUUUAUGUGAAUACUAGUUAUUGUGUAAAUUUGAAUGAUAGCGAAAAAUAAACCUAUUUGAAAACUGUAAGGGUGUGUUGGGAUAUUUUACAACUGUCGGAAUCUGGUAGGAUAUUGCACCAUUUGCCCAAUAUUUUUAGACGUACUCUAACCGGUAUUCAAGAUAAGUAAAAGUUACAAGCGUGGCAAAAUAAAAAAAUAAAAUUUGUAAUUUGUAAACGAAUUUUCCUGACAUGUAUAGUAGAUGAAGUUGUUGAUCCUUUCUUUGGAUUAUUUCAGCUCUGGUUGUUGGUCACCGAUGAGCCGAAGUCUUAUUUUAAUUUUAUUUAAACUCAUCAUAAGAUUCGUGGAGCACCUAACUAACUUAACUGACUGUGCAGAGCAUCUCAACAUGGCAUAUUUAACCAUCAUUCAAGUGAUGGGUUUAAUAAGACUGCUUUUGUUCUAUCAACUAUCAAGUUCCUCUGCCUCUAAGCAGAAUUACUAUUGAAGGGCCAAAAGGAAAAUGAAAACGUGUGAGCUCCAACAACCACCCCACAAAUUCAAUGACGAUGCUCGGAGAGGGUUAGGUUGGGCCUCUGAGAAAAAAAAAUUAUUUAGUUAAAAAGUUACCCUUAUUGAAACCUGUAUAAAAAUUUUAUAUUAAUUAGUUAUGUUGCCUCUUCAACUAUGAUCAAAUUUUUAUCCGAGCUCAUCAUUUAAUGAGUAAACAUGUAUUUUAAUGAUCUCAAUUAAUAUUUAGAACAAAUAUUUUAAGAAGUAAAGCUCAUUAUAUCUUCCAUUAUUAUGUAUUUCUUUAAUUUCUUAUUUACAUAAUUAUAUUGUACAUUAAAAAUGUAUUGAAUUUGAAGAAAAAAAAAUUCAACUCACUCAAAAAAAAAAAAAAAUGCUGGUAGCUUCGUAAUAAUUACUGUAUUGACUGCACCAGAUAAAGUUUUGUAAAAUAAUAAGUUCUCAUUAGUGGUUUUUAAUUUUUUUAAUUUUUUUUUCCGGCACACCUGAUCAAGAAUUCUAUUUUGUUAACUAAUCAAUUGCAAAGCAUAAGUGUUGAACGGCAAAAAAAUUUAAAAAAACACUUAAAACGUGGGGAAAUGAGAAAUAUAGAAAGAAAGGAAGAAAGUUGAGACAUGAAACUGAUCUGCAGUGAAAUUGAUAAUCAUGUUUCUAUUUCGUUAACUAAUCAAACGGAAAACUGAAACUGUAAACAAACAUUAACACGUGUGGACUCUGCUAGCUGCCCUACAAGUCUACAAUAGUAAUUGAGUACCUUUGAUUCAUCCUUCUAUGAAUUUCUAGCUGUAUUGACCCCAACUGCUAAAGUUUUGUAAAAAAUAAAAAUAAAAAUAAAAAAACUGGAAUUUCAACAAAAUUCAAAACGUGUGAAAUUCAAAAAUGGACUUUGGCCAUGUGGAACAAAAUGUAAAUUAAGGAAAAAGUAUAAAUCUCAAUUGCUUAGUAUGGUUAGGAUUUUGUGAGCAUCACUAAAAAGUGAAAACUAUGAAUGAUAGAGGUGAUGUUUGCAACAUGAAUAAAUGAUGAACUGAAUCAAUUGAUGAUCGUAAUUACAUAAUGAACAAAAUUUACAAAAUCAACAAAAGUUAAUAAAAAUUUAUUUAAAUAAUAAAAAAUCAAUAAAAACUUAUUAUUUAACGACGCUCUAACCAAGGAGUAUCAUAAUCAUAAUCUUCUUUUAAGAAUUAUAACCUAUUUCAAAUAGCACCGCAAUAUAAUUCUAGAUAUUUAAAAGAAAAACAUUAUCCACCUGGAAUGACUUGAAGUCUAAAGAAAAAGAGAAUGGCUCCCCGCAAUUUUCUUGUCUUCGGUAUAUUUUCUUUUUUAAAAUCUUUUGCCGCAUACAUAAUCUACCCUUGUUUAUUAUCUCCACUUUGAUCUGUUCAAGUCCAUUUUUUUCAAAUCUUAUUUUAAAUAAUAAAUUGAAUAAAAGUAUAUUUUUGUAAUUAAUUAGUAUUUGAGAGAGGGGAGGGGGGGGGGGGGCAUAUUUUUUGCACUCAGCUAUUAUCAAACAGUUCCUUAACCUAUUUCUCAGUUUAUUUGCUAUCUUUGUGGAUCUCAUGGGCGUGGCAGAAUUUAAUAAUUUUAUUCGUCUGAAGAAUAAGAUAUUGGCUUCAAUAAAUUUAAACCAACUUUUAUUUACUCUAUCAAUUAAUUAAUGCCAUUUUGUUUUAGAUUAGAUUCUUUUAAUGGCUUAGGUACAUACACAGUACCAGAUCCGGAUCCCGGAAAUGGUGCUCUGAAGGAAUGGAGGGAGAAGAGAAGAUUUACAACUGAGGAUUGAGAUCUGGUCUCGUUGCCUCAGAGCAAUGUACAGAUUUUAUGGCAGAUCUGAUAAAAACCAGUCUGCAAACAUGCUUUGAAGAAAGAAUUAGGCGGUUUCUGUAAACAAUUCAAUUAUGACCCCUUUAAAACUUCUACUUCCAAAGAUUGUAAUGGUGAGUGUUCUAAACCUCGCAAAAACAUUACAAAUCUAGAAAUUUUAGGAAACCCUUUCGUAAUUUUAGAGAACUUCCUUAUAAGAAACCUUCGAGGCCUUAUAAGAAACCCAAGUUCCCUAAAAAAGAGUUCAAAGCCAAACCAAAAACUCCUUUCACUCCUUUCAAUUACAAAGAAGCUAUAUGUCACAGAUGUGGCAUGAAAGGUCAUACUGCAAAGUACUGCAGAAUGAACAAAAAGCUUCAUGAGCAGUUCGUCAUAAGGGAUUCGGUUAUCAUACAGGGUUUUAAUGGAAUUUCUAACCUUCUCUCCAAGGAGAGUUGGUAAUCCUGCAAGGAAUUUUUCUUUCCAAGUUGUAUGAUUAGCAUCAUCCCUAAGGAAAAGACGAGUGAAGAAAGUGGUUUUAUAGCUUUGGAAUUCACUAAGUUUCCUACAUCUUAAAUUAUGUAGUAACUCAGCGUUUUUAUCACGAAGAUGAGAAGGAUCACCAAUUAAAUGGAGGGAAAUUGUCAAAAUUAGAGUAGCAACGGCAUCCUGGAUUGGAUUGUUGAACUCAUCAAGAAUAGGGGCUCCAUUUUCAUCGACUUGUAUAGAAUUUAGAAUGUCUAGUUGUUGCCGAUUAGUGAGAAGAUGAUCCCACCAACCUUUCAAUUGACCAGUAAAACCGGCAAUGAGGAUUUCUGAUAUGGCACGAUCAGAAGUUCCUGCUUGGGUUUUAUAGGCAUUGGCUGCCAUUGUCAUUUGUUGCAACAAUCCUAGAAUAUUAUACUCGGACAUACCAUCAAUAUUCCACUCAUAGACUGAGGAUGCAUUAUAUCGAGAUUGAUUUAAUGCACUUGGUCUAUUAUCUAUUGCUAGAUCUGGUGGAGUCUUGACAGUGGGAAGGGCUAUUUACAAAAGGAUUUAAAUUUUCAAAGAAUUGAAAGUCAAUUACAAAGUGAUUUUGUUCAAAGAAAAAUCUCUGAUUUCAAAAACCUUAUUGAAAACGAAAUCUGUGCUGAUUUACCAUCUGCUUUUUGGAAUCGAAAACAGCAUUUAGUGGAUUUGCCAUAUGAAAGUUCUUUUGAUGAAAAACAGUAAGAUUCCACUCAGGGAUUUUCUUUCUAACAGUAAUAGGGUUUGACUCUUUGAAUGGAUAAGAGAUGUUGUUCUCCGAAGAAUAUAUUUCGAACCAAUCAAAAAACAAUAUAUGAAUUUUAUGAAAAUUCACAAAUUCAUAAUAAGUUUGUUGGAUUUCUUUUCUUUGAUUUAAAAAAUGUUUGAAGAACCAAAUUCUUUUUUCUUUGUUCAAAUCUGAAUAAAAAUCAUUAUGAAGAAAUGCUUUAUCCAAUUCAAAAUCUUUUUCGAUGACAUUAAUGACAUUUUCUGUAACAGCAGAAAAUGUAGGAGAUGUUGGAGGAGAAGGUUCCUUCUCUUCCUGACUUUGUACCUGUUGACUACUAGUGUAGAUCGGAUGAGGAACACUAGUGGUGUAAUCAACUGAAUGAAUGGAUGUGCUAGGUAAAUCUGAAGUAGAAAACCUAGGCUGACACUUUGUAUUUUGGAAUGGAUGAUUUAUAACAGAAGGUACUUUUGUAAAUUUCCUUUCUAGUGAAGGAAUGCUUGAGCACGACUCUUUAUCAGAAAAUCUGUGAGAGGUAGACCUUCUGAAUGAUAGUUUGACUUUACCAUCGGAAUACUGAGUCACAUUUUGCAACUCUGUAUUGGGCUCAAGUUGUUUCGGAGUCACCUGUGGGGCAGCUCCUUUAAGGAUCCAUUCUUCUGGAAGAUUAACAUCUUUCCAUUGGAUCGGUUUUGGAAUGACAGUGUUUGCUUUGGACAAGUCAGUCUGCAAGAGAAGAGUUUCAUCUCUUUUUGACUGGAAUUUAUGUUGCGUACAAAACGCAGAGACCAUAGCUUUAUAUGAAAUCUUGAAAAUCAAAGCAACUGGGAUGGACCCUUUAACCAUUUGGUAAUUAUGGGUUUUGAUUUGUAAAAUCAUGCUUUUUAAAAUGUUUUUGUCUUUAAGAGAAGAAAUUCUUUUCUUUUAAUUUCUUUAAAGAUUUUUCUGAAAAUAAAUAAAUUGUUUCAAAAGGCUCUGAAAGAGUGAUAUCACGUUCUUCAGUUUUUAUAAUAUAAUCACUUUUUAAAAGAUCAAGCAUUUUUGUUUUGUAAAUCUUUUCUUUGGAAAUUUUUGGAAGUUCCCAACAAUCAAUUGCUUUAUCAAAGUUCUCAAUAAUGAAUUCUUCUGAACUCACAACAUGCUUUGAAUCACUAGUCUUCCCGGAAGAAGAGCUAGAAAAGGACGAUGUUCUACCGAGUAGAGGAUCCAUGUCCAAGACCUUAUGGUCUAUUUUUGGUUUGGUCAGAAUGGCUACAGGUAUGGAUUUACAGCCCUCAGCGGAUAGCUAGAUUGUGGGGUAUCAGGGGCUAUUUGAACUUUGCUAGAUGAGGAAGAAGCAGCUUCUAUCCGAUCUAGUUGUUCUCUAAUGGCUUUAGCAAAAUCUGAUUUUGACUCUUGGACAAGCUUUUGGCUAGUUUUCGAAACCUGAAAAGGUUUGAAAAUAGGUUCCUUAAGCUUUUUAUCAGAAUCCGAUUUUGUUUGAACAGUAGUUGAUGAAACAGUAAUGGUUGACUUUUGGAAUUGGUUUUCUAUCCUAGUCAACUGCUUUCCGAUUGUAUUUAAGUUAGUAUUACAGAAAUUGUUCUGUUGGAUAAUACUACUUAAAUUUGCCUCGGAAUCAUUUGGUUUUGGAAUUUUGUAAGGUGAUGCUCUAAUUUCGACAGGAGGUUCACCAUGAUCUAUGGUUAUACUCCUAAGAGGUGGAUGCUCAGACUCGAUGGAUCAUUCAUUUUUAAAGAAAAUCAAUGUUUUGACUAAAGACUAAGAGACUUUUCUUGAACUUGUAAAACAUAUUUCUGAUCCAAAUCUUCAAAAAGAAUAUCUUGAUAAACUUUUGAAAACUUUGGAUUUUAAUAAAGCCGAGACUUCUAAAGUCCCAAUUGUUAAAAAGAAUUCUUAUGAUCUUACCCAGAUUUUAGAUAAAAAGAAAACAAAGAAGUCAAUGCCCACGAUUCAAGAUCUUCAAAAAGAAAUCAAAGAGAUUAAACUUGAGAUUAAGGAUUUGAAAGAAAAACAGAAAACUGAUUCUGAAACUAUCCAACUCCUUUUACAAAAGCAUUUGGAUAAUGAUUCUGAUAAAGAUGCCGAUUCUGAUGGUGAUCAUAAUGACCAAAAUGUUGAUAAUAUUGAAUCUAUACCAAAUGAUUUUUUGUUUGUUUUAAAACAAAUCACCACCAGGAAGUAUUUAAUUAAAAUCUCUUUAAUUUUUUCCAAAGAUUUUGCUAUCGACGCCAUUGCCCUUUUUGACACUGGUGCUGAUUUAAAUUGUAUAAGAGAGGACAUUGUCCCCAAAAGAUUUCAUGAAAAGACAAAAGAAAGCCUUCUGUUCAAACACCAGUCACUAUCAAUAAAAUGAGCUGUGAUCACCAUGUAGCUCAUGUUUUGAACAGAAGUCCAUAAAUCAGUGGUAAGAGACACUCGCUGUUUGUUGUUGCAAAUCAAACUCUUCAACAUUAUCUUUUCUUCCAAAAAUAAAUCCAUAACAUCCCUACCAACAGUUCUCCGAGAUGGCAUAACAAACUGUGGAAUGGCUACACUACAGAAAUGCCUGAACCCUUUGUUAUCCACAAAACUAAGUGGCAACUCACCCAUAAUGAUCAUUUUGGUGACUGCCCUUCUACAAGCGUCUUGACUCCACCCUUUAGCCAAAACCAUAUUACUUGCAUUUCCUUCCCCACCCUCAGUUGUCAAGUUUUGUUGACUUCCCUCUUGUUGUUCCCGGAAUGUCUUGUAUGCAAGGCAAGCCAGUAUAUGAUUUCUCAUAUUUGUAAUCCCAUCACGCCUUGAAUGACAUUGAUAUUGUCUACCACAAUAGUUGCACUUGCAUUUGUUUGGAUUGUCCUCGAGCAAAGUAAAAUGAUUCCACGUCGCAGAUCUUUUCUUUAUCGCUGGUCUUUUCCGCUUUGCCUUUUGAGUUCCUUCCAUUUGAACACUUUGAUUGUCAUCAUCACUUAUUGAAUUCGAUCUUGAGUGUCCAGACAUCUAAACAUACAAAUAAAUAAUUAUUAAUCAUUAAUUCAUAAAUUAAAACACAAAAAGACUAUUAAAAAAAUCUACUUAAUAGUUAGUAUUACAAAUUGAUUCAAAUAAUUGUUAAUUUAAUUUUAUGAAACUUUUUGAAAUCGAUAUUUCCAAUUUUCCACCAUAAUGUUUAUAUAUGAUCAAGAAUUCAAGAUGCAUAUGCCCACAUUAUAUGUAGUUAACCACUUAAUAUUUACUUAUUGGUUAAUGGUUAUCAUGCAAUUAAUUAAAUUGAUUAAUUAUUUAUUGAAGUUGAAACUUAAAACUACUGCAAUUAAAUUGGUUAAUGGUUAAUUUUUUGUUGAAGUUGAAACUAUUCUACAAAUACACAUAUCAUAUGACAUAUACAAUUAUAAUUUAUAUUGUAACAUAAUAUUUAAUUUUAAUUUUUAAUCUAACAUUAUACUAUUCAUACAAAAAAUCAAUUAUUAAUUAAUAACAGAAAAUUAAUGCCAGAUUAUUUUCAUUUUAUUGAUAAAAUUUAACAAUAUAUAAUUAAAAAUUUAACAUACAAAAUUACAAUUAACAUUUCUCAUAUAACAUAUAACAAAUAAAAAUUAUAAUUAAUCAUUAAUGCAUAUAUAAUUAUAUAAUAUAUACCAUCUCUUAAAUAACUUUAAAAGCCGGAUUUGCUGUCUUGCACUCUUGCUUUGCUUCUUAUUCGGGCUUCAGCCUUCAAGCCUUCAAGUUCCAAUUCCAAACUUCCAAAUUUCCAAUUCCAAAACAGAGAGUGAAGAGAGUCAGAGAGACAGAGACCUUUUGAGACUGGAGGCUGGAUCCGUGACCCGUGAGGCGUGACCGUGAAUGGGUGUGGUGGCCGGAUGUCAACACUCAACAGCCGUGACCCGUGGAUGCCAAUGGUGGAGACUCGAGUAGAUCGGAGGUAGCUUGCUGGGUGGAUCUUCAAUCGGACUGAGUUAUGGUGGAGUGGAGGAUUCAAGGCGUGGAUCCGGCGCUUGGUUGCAGCAGAUCUGUAGAUCGGGUCACGAUCUUCGCGAAUCAGCUUCGGCUUCGGUUGGGGUCGUUCUCGGAAGUGGUUGCUGGCUGCGUGUGGUGGCCGGUUGAAGCUAGCUCCGUGAACUGUGCGUGUGUGUUUGCUGCGCGUGGUGAGUGACGAAGGCCGUGACUCCGUGAGGCGUGAAUGAGCGUGGGACAGUGGGUUGGCUGCUGCCUGCUUGUGCUUGACGGCUGCUGGUUUCAGUGAUUUUUGUGUGACACUGUGACAGUGAGGGUUUGUGAAUUGUGAUAGUGAUACCGUGAGUGAGGGUUUGUGACUGUGAGUUGUUACUUGUUACUUUGCUUAAUUGCUUUGCUUGUGUUGUUUUCUUGGUGAAUUAUUGAAUUGUUUUGUAACUUUUGUUGCGGUGAAUACUGAAUAGUUUGGAGUGAAUUGACUGAAUUCCUGAAUUGUUUUGUUGCGGUGAAUACUUUGUGAAAUGUGAAUUAUUGAAUUGAAUUGUGAAUUACUGUAAAUCCGUGAGUCUGUACUCUGUACUGUGAUCUGUAUUUUGUUUCUGUGAGAGUGUGAGUUACUGAUUCAAUGCAUGUACUCGUGUGAGAUGUGAAUGUGCCAUGUGUGUGUCUGUGUGAUAUUGUAAGUGUAAAUCUGUAAUUUUUGCCCACUUUUUUUUUUUGUCUCAACCCGAUCGGGUUUUCGGAUCGGAUCGGGUUUCACCCGAUCCGAUCAUGAUCCGAUCGGGUUGAGACAAUUUCACCCGAUCGGGUUUUGUUGACCACCCGAUCCGAUCCGAAUCCGAAAUUUUUCGGAUCGGGUCGGGUCGGAUAAUUUGCCCACCUCUACUUCUAGUUCUAGAUGAAAUUGAGAGAGAGAGAGAGAGAGUGUGAGAGAAACUCUGAAAAGCUUCAAGAAUAAUAAAGCCUAUGUACAGGCUGCUGUUCAUUUAUUUGUAAAUAAGCAGGGGAAAAGCCUAUGUAUAGACUGCUUCAAGUGAGGAAACUACACCUAACUACCCAGCAGGUAUAAUGAAGAAGACAUUGACGGAGGUUGGUAGCAGCAACUUUAAUUGUUCAAAGCAAACACGUACCUUUCGUUUCUCAUAAAACCUUGUGAGGUAAUGCUUUAGAUGACUGGCAUGCAAUAUUGUCAAUGACAAAAUUUAAUGUUGCAUCCUGCUGAUAUUAGGUUUAUUAAUAGUUGCAGCCUUAGGCAGGCAUAAUUUGGUCACGGAAACAAUAUAUCCAUCCAUUUUCAAAGGAUAGUAACUGUAACAAUAAAUCAAUUAAUAUAAUUUUUAUAAUUGGGAUAGCAUUGAGAAAGUCAAAAUUCAUUGUCCAGAUUUAGAUUUAAACUCGCCAUAGAAAGUUUUUACUUUCAUUCAAUAUCACAACUACAUUUGGGGACCACAAGACAGUCAAUUUUGAACAGAGUUAUAGUUAAUGAGUAAUUUAAAUUCAAACGCAUGAAACGUGAGGAUUUAAUUAUUGAUUUUUUAGUUUUAGUGUCAUUGAAGAUCAUAGAGGGAAAACGAUCGGUAAAAAGAUUGUAGCUUGUUUACAAGAUUGGGGGAUAGAGAGAUUGUUUGCAAUAACUGUUGAUAAUGCCAGUACAAAUGAUGUUGCUGUUAAUUAUGUGACUAUGCAAUUACUUGCUUGGAGGAAUGAUGAUGCAAUUGUAUUGGCGGGUCAGUAUAUGCAUGUGCGUUGUUGUGCACAUAUUUUGAACUUGAUUGUUGUUUCGGGGUUGAAUGAAUUGCAUGCUAGUGUUGCCGCCAUCCGGAAUGCUGUGAAGUAUGUGAGAUCCUAGCGGCAGCUAUGGUGGUACAAGUUAUUCUCCUUAUUUUACAACUGAUGUUGGUUUGCCGGAGGGUCCUAGUGGUGAUGGUGAUGACAUUUUCCGAGUUUCUCGCCCUUUCUUUGGGUAUGCUCAGAAAGUGUUUGUUCAGAAUGAGGGCAAGAGAGUAGUAUCUGAGGUGGAACGAUAUUUGAGUGACCCAGUUGAAGAUCCGAGCAAUCUUAAGCUCAAUGUUUUGCUUUGGUAGAAGGUUAAUGGAUCGAAGUAUCCGAUAUUAGAGAAAAUUGCAAGGGAUGUCCUCGUUGUUCCUGUUUCCACAAUGGCAUCUGAAUCUGCCUUUAGCACAGGGCGUCGCGUCAUUGACGAAUAUCGGAGUUCUUUGACCCCUUGUAUGGUUGAGGCAUUGAUAUGUACCGAAAAUUGGUUACAAGCUAAACUUUUUGCUAAUCUUGUCUACAACCUUCAGGAAGAUAUUAAAGAGCAGAUAUUCCAUAUGGAGCUACAAGAAGGUAAUAUUUUUCUCAUACUUUAUAAAGUUAAGAUGUAUUAUAACUUUAUAAAUAGCAUCUACAUGUACUUAAGUUACUUACUAAUUUCAUUUUUUUUUUGACAUUUUAAAGAGUUUGUAAGAUCACAAGCUUCAACGGUGGAAACAGUGAGCGUUGAUAUGGGUGUUAUGGAUAUUUGAAAGGUAAUUCUUAAUAUAUAUUAUUAUUUAUAAUUUCAUAUUAUAUGUUUAGGUUGUAAUUUACACUAUAAUAAUAGACAAUAGUUGUUAUAGUUUUAAUUUUUAAGUUUUAAUUCAAAUUGUAAUAUUAUAAUUGUUUUAUUUAUUUUAGACACAUUGAAAUUGAUGGAAUGGUAUUACUUGGGCAUAUUUUUUCAAUUUUUCCCUAGGGGAUAUAUGCUUCAAUUCUUCAACUUGGAGUAGAAGAAAUUGAAGUUAAAAGUUGUCAAAGUGCUUGCGAGGAAUGGUGGAGCCAUGGAGGAAGUUGAUCUAGAUUUACAUUUAAACUUUGUUGUGUUUUGGAUUUUGGAACUUUGUCAUUUGUGUUUUGGAAAAUGGAAACUAUUUAAUUAUGUUUAAUUUUGUGUUCUAAAGAUUAAUGUUUAGAUUUUAGAAUUGGAUAUUGCGCUUUGGAUGGAGACUAUUAAAUUUAAACUUUGUGUUAAUUUUAAUUUUAUGCUUUGUGUUAAUUUUUAAUUUUGAAUCAUUUGAAUUUAAUUCUAGAGUAGUUUUCUUUUUUUGUUGGUUGAAAUGAAUGGAUGGAUAAAUGAGGGAGGACAAGGAAGGUGGGAGAGAAAUGUCUUAGUUAGCAAGGUGACAAUAGUGGAAAAGAAACCAAUUGAAAAAUUUUGAGAAAAAAAGAAGAUUAGAAUCCAGCUUAGAUUAUUUGGAAUUUUGGUUAGAAUCCGUGCAUAUAUUAUUUGGAAUUUUGGAUACCAUGCAUAUAUUAUUUGGAAUUUUGGUUAUAGGAUGCACAUGAUAGUUCAACUUUUUUCAUUAUUAAAUGGCAGAGGUAUGAGUAUUUGUUAUAGCUUAAAGCAUUGAUGACAUACUCCAUUGAAGAUUUUUCUUUGUAUUGACAAGUUGGGUUGGUUUUAAUAGUCUGCAAGUGCAGAAAUUCUGUUAUUGCCAGAAUGUGAGUAUUUCUUUGUAUUGACAAAUUCUGCAAGUGCACAAGCCACAAAUGCUUGUUUUAUAAAUGACAUGCACGUUCAUGUUGUUAUUGCCACUUUGCCAGAAUGAAAAUGAAUCAAUCCCUUACGUUUGCUGUGUUUGUCUUUUGGAUUAGAUAAAUGUUGUCAAAGUUUGGUUAAUUAUUAUAACUAAGUAAUGAAUCAAUCCCUUGUUUUAUAAAUGUUGGGCAAUAAUGCAAAUCUUAUGUCCGUCUCUAUAAAUUUUUUUAUACAUGUUGUCAAAUUUUGGUUUCUUUUAAACGGUUGUACUAUGCCUGUAUCUCCCGAGGUCCCCAUGGCAAAAAGAAUAAAAAAAAAAAGAAAAAAUACAAUAAAAUUAUAAUAAAUUAAUUUCCUUAGUUAGAAUGUGACUUUCCAGCAUCAAAACCCCUUAGGAAAAAAUACAAUAAAAUUAUAAUAAAUUAAUUUCCUAAUUUCACCUCCCCAAUUGCCAAAUUAAUUAUAACCCAAAUUGACCCGAAUUGAUCCGAAUAACCCGAAUUUAAUCCGAACCCGAACUAAUCCGAAUCCGAUCCGAUUACACCCGACCCGAAUUAACCCGAAUUCAUCCGAAUAACCCGAAUUUAAUCCGAACCCGAAUUAACCCGAAUCUGAUCCGAUCCGAACUCCACCCGACUUUUUAACCCGAUCCGAUCCGAUCCGAAUUUAAUUCGGAUCGGAUCGGAUCGGGUUUUAAGUUCGGGUGGAGUUCGGAUCGAUUUUUAUCCAACCCGACUAACUCGAAACCCGAUCGGGUUGAUCCGAACCCGACCCGAACCCGAUUUUGCCCACCCCUAUCUAGAAGUCCCUCCGAAAGCAUCACCCAAGACAGUUUGUCAUCUUUUAUACUCUGUUUUAACAGUAAUUUGAACCGUCUUCAGAGUUAUCGUCAACAAACUCAUUCAUAAUUUGUCCAAUCUUACGGACGAUAUCAUAUGCUUAACUCGACACAAUCUAGAUUCAACCUCCUCCUAUCCAACAACGGAUUUCGAUUUGAGUUACUUUGUGCUCAAGCAAAUUCACAUCAUAGUUUUAAUUCUUUUGAUAUGAAUUCAUCACAUUACAUAUAUCAGAUUAAGUGUAACAAAAUUUUUAAUUUACUACGAAAAGAAUAUGCGCUAAAAAUUAUUUCAAGACUAUUUGAUUACCAAAAGCUGCUGUCAGAGUGCACUGAAAGUUUCUGUAGGAUACUUUGCGGUUGUUUAUUAUGUUAUGAUGGGCAUAUAAUUCUCAAAUUUUGACUCCUCUUAGCGAAAAAUAUAUCAAAGUUUAGAUUGAGUGCAGCAACUCCACAGGCCGAGUGGUACAACUACACCUUGGUCUUACUAGGAAUAUCGAUCUGGGAGAGUGGUAUCUGAAUGCUUCUCUAUUUACUUCCUUUCAACAACUUGGUAACAAAAUAGCCGGCUGCAUGCGUUGAGAAUGAAAGUCCUUCAUUUAAUUUAAUUUACUUAAUUUCUCCCUCCUAAUUAAUGUCUGUAACCAUUAGGAGGAACAAGGGAUUUUAUUAACUCAAAUAUAUGUAAUGGAGGAGCUCAUUCUUUGGUUUUACUAGCAGGUCUAGAAGCAGGUGUCAUCUAACAGCUGCUUUGAUAAUUUCCCACCCCUUCAUCUUUGAUGGAAAGAUGAAAUAAAAACAAAAUGGUGAAAAUGGUAUUGGUACCUGAGGCUAUGUAAUCUAAUUCAACAACUGCACCAUCAAAACGAUUACAUAAGUCCCAGAAGAAUCAAACAUUAGUUUGCAAAAUAUCAAUUGCUGGAGGUUAGAUUCUAACUUCCGCUCUUGAUUUUUAUGGGCAUGUUGUAUUGUACUUGCAUACGAAAAUCAUAUUUUAGUUUACUUACACCCAACGCUUGGAUUAAAGUUUCAGAUGGGGAAAAUUGAAGGAGACUAAAAUGACUCAAAAAAAUAGUUGAAUGAGUGAGGGUUUUGUCUUCAUUUAAGGAGCUCUUUAUAAAUUUUAGGAUUUUUUUUCCCGAGAAAAUAUAUUUCAACUUAUUCCUGCUUCUUUUCUGAAGGGACAAAUGCAACUGAAAGUGUAUUCUUGAAUUCUCCAGGAUAAGAGACAUACGUUUAAUUAGAUUCUCGAGCCUUCAAAACAAUAUAAAAUUUUAGAUUGAUAAAAUUUUAUAUAUCUGAGCAUGAUGGUGUUUGACAUGACUUAAAACUAUUUAAUUUACUCUCACGUACAAGAAUAUCUAGUUAUAUUGUAGCUCAGAGUUCGAGGUUAAUCCAUAGACAAAUGAUUUAAUUUCUUUAUUUAAGAUUAUCCCAAAAAUAAAAAUAAAAUUUAAAUAUAUGUAAUUUAAUUUGAAAAAAGUUAUGAAAUUAAAUUAUUUAGGGUCAUGGAUCCACUCUUAGUAAGUACAAUUUAAUAAAUUCUUUUUAUUUUUAUUUUAUUUCCCAAAAGAUUAAUUAUAUAAAUUAUAAUUAUUUUCCCAUUAAUUUUAUUAUGGAUUAAGUACUUAAUGUGCCAAAACUUAACUUGUUUACAAUAAGUCAAAAUACCAUUUUACCAUACUUUAUGCUAAGAUAUUAAGAAUUCAUGUGCCAAACUCCCAUGUUUGUCUACAAUAAAUCAAAAUUUCAAAACAUAAAAUAUGGAUCAAAUUAAAUAAAAAAUAAUUUAAUUUAUAUAAUUAAAAAUAGAAUUUGAUUAAAUCAUAUUUUUCUACUCAGAGUUUUACCUCACCCUAACUAUUAGUAUUUAGCUAAACAUAUUUGAAAUAAAUGAAAUUAUUAAAAUUGAAAAAUACAUAAUUAAAAAAUGGUAUUUGAAAAUUAGAAAUAAAACUAAUUUUAUUUAUUGAAAAUGUAUUACAAAGAAAGAUGAGAAUAAGAAUUUGAGGGGAAAGAAGAGAAGAAAAUUUGUGGAGAGGUGUGUGAAAUUAUAUUCUAAAGAUGUUACACAAACAAAUGAAUAAAAAAAAAACUAAAUGAAAAUUACACAAAUUAAAAAGAAAAUGAAAAUUAAAUAAAUAAGAUAAAUGUGCAAGAAAAAAAUGCGCAAUAAAAAUAAAUAAACUGAAAAGUAAUUAACUAAAAUUAAAAUAACUAAAUAGGCGGUAAACAAAGUAAAUGCCAAAAAUAAAAUAAGUGCGAAAAUUAAAUUACAUAAAUUAAAAGAAGAAAGAAAGAAAAAAAAUUAUCUCAAAGUGUAAACUCUUUUUCUUUUUCUUUUCAAAUUUUAAAUAUUACUAGUCAAUUAAGUGAUUAAUUCAAAUUAUUAGGCUUUAAUAGUAAUUUUUAAAAUCAAUAUUCAGUUUAUUGAGUCCAAAUAAGGUCCAAAGAAGUUCAAGUUGUUGGUCUAAAAUUGAGAAUUUUGGGAAAUAUUGGCAACGGACCUAUUCAAAAAGUUCUAUAAUUUUGUGGUCAAACUACAAUUAUGAGAAGAAUGAUCCAAAAAUUAGAAUUUUUGGGGUGAGUGAGAUUUAGAAAGAUUUUGUGGAUAUAACAUAAUUUAAGAAAGAAAAAGGAGGUAAAUGAAAAUUUACACAAAAAGUAAAAAAAGAAAAAAAAAAGAAAACAAAAUAAAUACCUCUCCCAGCAACGGCGGUAAAAACUUAACACGAAUUAAAAGUAUUUAAUUUACUCUAAAGUAUAAGAGUACCUAGUUAUAUUAUAUCGCGAGAAGUCUGAGAUCGAUCUACAGAAAAAUUAUUUAAUUAAUUUAUUUAAGUUUAUCUAAAAAAUAAAAAUAAAAUUAAAUACAUGCAAUUUAAUUUGAGAAAAAUUAUGAAAUUGAAGUAGUUAGGAUUAUGGAGCUCUUUAUAAAUUUUAGGAUUUUUUUCCUGAGAAAAUUUAUGCCACCUCAUUCUUUGCUUCUUUUUUGAAGGGACACAUGCAACCGAAAGUAUAUUCUUGAAUUCUCCAGGAUAAGAGACAUACGUUUACAUGCUGGAGCAUUUAAAACAAUGUCAAAUUUUAGAUUGCUGAAAUUUUAUAUCUCCGAGUAUGAUGGUGUUCCAAUUAUAAGCUCCAGGGUGCAACUUCACUGAGGUUUAGAAUGCCAUCCUUUAGAAUUGAGAAAUCUCCGUUUGCAUAAAUAUCUUUUGAAAAUACUGACAUCAGAUUUUGAAUUGGAGAACCUGAUUGGACUCAGCUUGCCUUGUAGUAAGGUUAAGCAAAUUUGGAAAAGAGAAAAGGUAUAAUGUAUUACUAUUACCAAAGUAUAUAUUUUUCUUUCUUUAAGUAUUUAUAAUGAAUAACUUUGAAAUUCAAUGAUGCUCAUUUAGUAUAGUUAUGUAUCUUUGGUUAUAGGAAGCUGUCAAGUUAAAAUCUAUAGACCUUCACCACCCCUCUAUCUCAAUAGGAUCCCAGAAAUACUAAAUCUUAAAAAAAUAAAUCUUUCAAAUUGUGAAAGCAUGCUUACGUUACCCCCGUAUAUCCACAAUUUCAACUAGCUGAGUAUGUUGUGUUUCAGGGAUGCAAAAUUCAUUUUGUUUCUCAUGAAAGGAUUGACUUGUCCGGAUGUAUUAGGGUUAAUAAACCAACUAAUCCCAUAAUUUGUUGAUGUAGGGUCCUAAAAAAUUAUUGCAGUAGAUUGUAGAUCAGUACACUAUUCGAAAAUGUAUUUGAUCCACACAGUGAAGUGGAUAUUGGACCAAUUUGAUGAUAAUGAAUUUCUUUCAAUCUCAAUCGUUUUUCCUUUUAGCAACAUGACUAGUCAUUGCGCAAAUUCAAACUCUGACAAUGAUUUCUCAAUCGGUUUCUAAGAUGAUGACCAUGCAUGUAUAUGUAUAUGCGUGUGUAUAUGUGUGUGUGUGUGUGUGUAGAGAGAGAGAGAGAGAUCACACGUGUGUGAUUUCCUUUUGCCAAUAGGAUAUGCAGAGAGCUUGAUCUUACCCAAUAGCGAAACAAACUUCCUAAUAAGUGAAGGUAUAGUAUAAAUACUUAUACUUUCAUGUUAUUUUUUUCAUCAGUAGCUUGAUUAUUUUAUAUGCGUCUUCGAUUUUAAUUUUCUUUCCCUAUAAUCGCUAUUAUCUUUGAACUGGUCAUGAUUUGCCUAUAAGAUUUCUCAUGUUGUUUUGAGGUGCAAUGGAUUUUGAAUUUAGUGACGAGCAGUGGAAGCCAGAAGGCAAAUUAUGAAUAUGGAUAAAGAUCUAUAAUUAGCUGUUAUGGGAUGUCACAUAUCAUAUUGAUGGUAACAUUAUACAUAUGUACAUAUAAUUAAUGGGGUUGGCUCACGAGCCCAUUAAUAAUCAUAUAUUAGCUUAAAUACUUCAAACAAUGUACCAUGAAGCAAUUUCACAAAUACUUGUUAGCUUAUGUUGAGCUUUAUUGAAUCAGUAGUUCACAGUUCAAUAAAAUGCAGGUUUGCUAUUUAACGUACAUGGUUAUGGUGUGUGCAUUCUUCAUAAGGCUAACUACAAAUUUAUCAAUGAAACUUGAAAAAUGUAACAGAGAGAUGUCGAUAACAACCGCAAAACACUGAGAUUGAAAAUCAGGGCUAGUAAAUUCUAUUAAAAGCUCUUAAAAUAGACAGCGAUCAUCCUUAACCGCAAAGUUAUGCACUAAUAGAACUAUUGACUACUUAUCUUUAGCAGAAGGUAUAUUUUUAACUACAGCUUUCUGCUUUGUUCUAAGAACUAGGCAAAAGUGGUAUAUCUUCAAUCCAAUCAACAUAUAUACCACUUAUCUUCCUCUUCACUUCUGUCUAUUUUGAUUUGCACUUUACAUCCUGCACUUGCUGCUUAGAAAUAGUCUUAGUCUGGACAUUGAAAGUAGAAAAAGUACUUGAAACUAUCAUUGGCACAGCUCGAGAUUCCAUUGAAUCGUGGACUCCAAGCUUUCAUAGUUCUAUAAAGAAAAUUACAUAACUUCAUACAACUGGCAUUCUGCUUUUAACAUUUGCACAACCUGAGCAAGUUAGCAAGCCCCUUGUCGCGUUCCCAUUGAAUAGACCUACUUCUGUUAUCCACAGAAGAUCCACCACUCAAAAUGUUUAUCACCAGGCUAUUCUUAAACUGAGCCUAAACUGAGUAGAAACUUCCGCACAUCUCUCAGCAUUUACAUGAAGAAAUCGACAACUAUCCUCAUCUCUCAGCACAUCUCUCAGCAUUCUACAAAGUUGCAUUUCACUAGGCAAUCUAUCCUCUCCAUUCCUAGCAAAGUGACAUUGAUUCUCGUAUUUGUAAUCGCCUAACUUGGGUUUUGGGCAUAGCGUGGUCUUAUAAUUACCACCCAAUACUUUGUUCAGUGCCACUGGCAUCCACAAGCUCUAGCCCUGUUAGCUGAAUCAUAUUCAAUGGGACAGUGAGGCAGCAUUUCACUAACAUAUUCAAUUUGACUACUUAUAUUGACGCAAAUAUUAGAAUUUGAAAUCACUUCUUUUCUUGGAAUAUUAUAUUAAAAUAACCCCAAAUGAAAGUUCUUGAAUGGAAAUGAUUUUUAUUUAAUCUUCCAACAGAUUCAAGAAAACCCAGAGAACACAAAAUUUACACAGUAAUAUGAUUAAGAGCUAAGAACGUACAUGUAGUAAAUGUCUAUCAAAAACACCAAAGGGUUUCUUUAAAAUUAGAAACUAGGUAAACUGUUAAGAUUUCGUUGGCUUCACUUGACUAAUUGAGAGAGAUUGUUUCCUUAUAUGUGGCUGAUUUGUAAUCCCUUUGAAUAUGGGAUCGUUAUUUACGUUCCUUUGUUUUGUGAAUAUUAGCUCUUUUAAACUUAUAUAUAAAUCCUCUAUAAUUCUACUGCAGAAAAAACAGAGAAGAAUAAAAUCAGUAUUCUUUUCAAAUAUCAUUUUUUCAUGGUAUCAGAGCAAUGGUUUUGAUUCAGUAAAACACUUUCGCUUCUCUUUUUUUUUUUUAUGGAUGAUAUUGAUAGUGAUAGCAGUCACAAUCAUUCACCAAAUCAUAUAUCCUCUCAAACCUCUCAUCACAUUAUGUCUAUGUCUAUGGUUGAUUCCUCAUACCCUCUUUUUCUUCAUGCUUCUGAUCAUCUUGGCAUGAUUCUUGUUCCAAAAGUCUUAGAUGGAACAAAUUAUGCUAUGUGGAAGAGAUCUAUGCUAGUGAGUCUUAGUGCAAAAAAACAAACUGGGAUUCAUUAAAGGAACCAUUCACACACCAGAUGAAGAUGAUCCAAAACAUUCUUUAUGGCAGCGCUGCAACGAUAUGGUGCUUUCUUGGAUCCUUAACUCUCUAAAUCAGGAGCUUGCAAUAGUGUACUCUAUUUAGAGACACCCUCAGAGAUUUGGACUGACCUUCAAGAACGUUUCUCUCGAGGUGAUUUUUCCCACCAUUAUCAAACUCAGCAAUUUAUUGUUGAAUUGAAACAAAAUCAAGAUUCAAUUUUUUCUUAUUACACAAAGAUAAAAAUGUUGUGGGAUGAGCUAACUACUUGCAGUCCUUCAAUCACAUGCACAUGUGGAGGACAAAAAGACUUGAAAGAAAAAGAAGAAAAGAUUAGGCUGGGACAAUUCCUCAUGGGAUUGAAUGAAACAUACUCAGCUUUGCGAGGACAAAUAAUGUUAAUGUAUCCUCUACCAACUGUCAAAAAGGCAUAUUCUCUUCUCUGUGAGGAAGAAAAGCAGCGAGGACUUACUGAAGCCAAAGGCAUUGAUCUCAUUCAUGCCAUGAGUAUCAAAGCUCGUGAUAAAUCCAGAGAAACACAAUUUGAUGCACAACAACAAACCAAACAAGGAUCAUCCUCUCAUCCCAAGCCACAAGGAAUGAAGAAAUCUUUCUUUCAUACUUACUGUGAGGGCACAACUCAUUCAGUAGAUUGUUGUUACUACUUGAAUGGAUUCCCAGUUGGUCAUAAGCUUCAUGGCAAAGACGUUCAGCCUCCAAAUCGAAGCAGAAAACCUGUUGUGCAUUAAACUAGUGCUGAAAUGAAUCAGAACUUAGCAAAGACACCAACUGAACAAACUCCCCAAUUUAUCUCUGAAGAGCUUGCCCAAAUAAAAGCUUUCUUUAGAAAUGGUAACAAUCCUGCUCGAUCAAACUACAUAGGUAUCCCUAUACCUUUCUGUUCAUCUUUCAAUACGCAAAAGACAGACUUGAAUCACUGGAUUAUUGAUAGUGGUUCAACAAAUCACAUAGCAACUUCAAUACCUAUUAAAACUCCUCUGUCAUCUCAAGUAACCUUGCCUAAUGGUGCCUAUUCUUAGAUAACUGGAAUUGGUUCAACACAACUCUCAAACCACCUACAUGUUAAUAAUGUAUUAUGUGCACCAUCAUUUCAUGUUAAUUUACUUUCAGUGAGUCAACUUACUGUUGCCAUGAAUUGUUCAAUCCAUUUUUUUUCCCACUUUCUGUAUAUUGCAGGACCUAGCUUCGAAGAAGAUGAUUGGCUUGGGGAAGCAGCUUAAUGGCUUGUACUACUUUGUUCCUCAAGUGAAGUCUACACCAACUUCUUUUUCAAUCACCCAUCAUGCUGAUUUUACUACACAUAUUACUUGGCACAAGUGGUUAGGACAUCCCUUAAAAGCACCUUCACAAUUUUUAAGCAAUAAUAUUCCUGCAUUUGUAUUUGAUUCUCAAUAUUCCUGUGAAACUUGCCCUUUGGCAAAGCAAACUCGUUUACCAUUUUCUUUAAGUUCUAUUCAAACUUUGCAUUCAUUUGAUCUUAUUCAUUGUGAUAUUUGGGGACCUUUUCGUACUGCAACUCAUACAGGGGCACAUUAUUUCAUGACUAUAGUUGAUGAUUACACUCAUUUCACUUGGAUUUUUUUAAUGAAAUUUAAAUCCGAAACCCAAGGAUUAAUAAAAGCAUUUAUUUCUUUUGUGAACACUCAAUUUAAUUGUCAAGUUAAAUGUCUUAGAAGUGAUAAUGGCUCAGAAUUUCUUUCCAUGAAACCUUAUUUAUCCACCCUUGGUAUUUUAUUUUAAAACUCAUGUCCAUCUACAACUCAACAAAAUGGUGUCGUGGAAUGAAAACACCGUCAUCUCUUAAACGUUAGUCGGGCUUUGAGAAUGGAUGCCAAUCUUCCUUUAAAAUUUUGGGGGGAGAGUUUACUUACUGUAGCCUAUCUUAUAAAUCGUCUUCAUACUCCCUUGUUGCAAUAUAAAUCUCCAUAUGAGUUGUUGUAUAAUAAGCCACCUAACUACACUCACUUACAAGUUUUUGGAUGUCUCUGUUAUGCAACAAAUCUACAGCCGUCCAAUAAGUUUGAUUCUCGGGCUCGACAAUGCAUCUUUGUUGGUUACCCUAUAGGCCAAAAAGCCUAUCGAUUAUAUGAUCUCCAUACUCACCAAUUCUUUUCCAGUCGUGAUGUCAUUUUUCAUGAGUCUAUUUUUCCUUCUCUUCGUAUUGAAAAAUCAUUAGAUAGCACUUUUCCUCAACUUGAGAUAUUAGAUUACAUCGAUAAUCUAUCUCCUCCUGCAACUCAUCCUGUCCCUCCAACAUUAGAGACCAUUAUUCCCUCUCCUAAUCUUUUAUUGUCAUCAACUCCUUCCCCUUCUUCCUCUAUAUCUUCUCCUGCCCCUCCUAUUCGUAAAAGUGAUCGUGUCAGGCAACCAUCUGUUCUUCUUCGUGACUUUCAUUGUGGACAGAUUAGUACAACACCAUCAACUGCAACUUCAAGUCAGUCAUUUUCAACUAAGUCAGGUACUCAAUAUCCUUUAAGCAAAUACAUUUCCUAUGAUUCUUUGUCUUCUACUCAUAAACACUUUGUUAACACCAUUUCAAGUGUCCUAGAACCAACCUCUUAUGCUCAUGCUAUAUUGGAUCCGAAAUGGCAAGAGGCUAUGCAAUGUGAACUUGAUGCUCUCAAAUCACAGAAGACAUGGUCCUUGGUCCCUUUACCCGCUGGCCAUCGCCCCAUUGGCAGCAAAUGGGUUUAUCAUAUCAAAUACAAUUCUAAUGGUACGAUUGAAUGUUACAAAGCUCGAUUAGUUGCCAAAGGAUUUUCUCAACAAGAAGGCCUGGAAUACACUGAGACAUUUGCUCCUGUGGCUAAAUUGACCGUUGUUCGUUGUUUACUUGUUGUGGCAACUGCAAGACAUUGGCCAUUGUAUCAAAUGGAUGUGACCAAUGCUUUUUUGCAUGGUGAUUUAGAAGAAGAAGUAUAUAUGACUCCACCGCCGGGACUUUGUCGACAGGGGGAGAAGCUUGUUUGUUGACUUCAUAAGUCCCUUUAUGGGCUUAAAUAAGCUCCUCGCAAUUGGUUUGCGAAAUUUUCUCAUGCUGUCAAGAAAGCUGGCUUUAUUCAAUCACAUUCGGAUUACUCGUUGUUUGUGAAGACAAAAGGCACAUCUAUAACCAUGGUUCUUAUUUAUGUAGAUGAUAUGGUGAUAACUGGAAAUGAUGCAGUCGCUAUACAUAAUCUCAAACAAUUUCUUCACUAGCAAUUUCAUAUCAAAGAUCUCGGUCAUCUUAAAUAUUUUCUUGGGCUGGAAGUUGCAAGGUCCAAAGCAGGUCUUGUUAUCUCUUAACGAAAAUAUACCUUAGAAAUCAUAGAUGAUGUUGUAUACUUGGGUGCUCAACCGGUAAAUUUUCCCAUGGAGAUGAAUUUGAAACUCACAAACCAUUAAGGUGAUUUGCUACAUAAUCCAACUCGCUACAGGAGAUUAGUUGGCCGACUAAUAUAUCUCACAAUUACGAGACCAGACAUUACAUACUCAGUUAACAUCUUAAGCUAAUUUAUGCAUGCUCCAAGAAAGCCUCACUGGGAUGCUGCUCUUCGUAUUAUGAAAUAUUUAAAGGGCAGCCCUGGUUUAGGUUUGUUAUUCUCCUCAAGCAAUUCCUUUACUUUAAAGGCUUACUGUGAUGCUAAUUGGGCAAAUUGUCGUAUAACAAGAAGAUCAACAACAGGUUAUUGUGUGUUCUUAGGGGAUUCUUUGAUUUCUUGGAAAGUAAAGAAGCAGAAAACAGUCUCAAGAUCAUCAUUAGAAGCUGAGUACAGGUCCAUGGCAGCAGCAACUUGUGAGCUCACUUGGUUUAGAUUUUUAUUCAAUGAUAUGCAAAUUUCCAUAGGACCAGCAAGGCUAUUAUGUGAUAACCAAGCUGCUCUUCACAUAGCAGCAAAUUCGGUAUAUCAUGAACGCACCAAACACAUAGAUCUUGACUGUCAUGUGGUAAGGGAGAAAAUGUACGAUGGUCAGAUAAUCACCAAAUUUGUUCCAUCUCAUUUACAGUUGGCAGACAUUUUUACAAAAGCUCUUGGAGGAAAGGUGUUUAAGAGACUAACAACCAAGUUGAACAUGCUAGAUAUACAUGCUCCAACUUGAAGGGGGAGUGUUAAGAUUUCGUUGGCUUCACUUGACUAAUUGAGAGAGAUUGUUUCCUUAUAUGUGGCUGAUUUGUAAUCCCUUUGAAUAUGGGAUCGUUAUUUACUUUCCUUUGUUUUGUGAAUAUUAGCUCUUGUAAACUUAUAUAUAAAUCCUCUAUAAUUCUACUGUAGAAAAAACAGAGAAGAAUAAAAUCAGUAUUCUUUUCAAAUAUCAUUUUUUCAUAAACAAAAAGAAAGAAUCAUUUUACAUUUUUAGCAAGUUUGAAUGAGUGAGAAAUUGAAACCCUAAAGUGAUGACAACAAUAAGAUUCAGUAUGAAGUGAAACCCCAAUUUGAAAUGUAGGCAUGAGUUGCUGAGUCAGUAGAUGAAGCUAUAAAUAGGCAUUCGGUUUCUUUCUUUUCGGUUUGGAGGGCCAUGGAAUAGUGUAUUGGAGUGGGCUCGAAGUAAUAGCCUCUAUCACUGAAUGACACGUUUGCAAAACGUGAUACAUAGGGAAGGAUUGAGCAUUAUACUCUUAGAUUAGCGCCUUAUUUAGGGUGUAUAUUAAGCAGAUUAUCUAUAUAUUACAUGGAGAUGGAGUUUAUGAAAUAGAUUAAAAAGAAAAGGAAAAUUAGUGUCUGGAGUUUGCCACUUGGAAUAUUUCGGUGUCUAAACAUUCACUCACCACUUAUUUCAUGUCUGAUCAUAUGUUGAAAAAAUAUUAAAGUAAUAUAACGCUAUUAAGGCUUAACGUAUAUUUUUUAUUAGUAGAGUGUAGAACUUUUAAGAAAUAAAUUAUUAAAUUACUAUAACUAGCAUAUUAUUUUAAAGUUGUGUUGUGAAAAAAAAAAUGAAAUAAAAACGUGAAGUAAAUUAGAGUAUUCUAAAACUUUUAUCUUUUUAAAAUUAGUUUUUAACAUAAGGUGAACUAUUUUUUUUUUAAAUCACAUACUCUAGUUAAAAUCAAAUAUGUAUUUAUAUGAAGCUUGUAAUUUUUUUUUCAGUACUGAUAUUUGAAUAUUAUCAAUAUUAUUUUUAUGGCCCACAAAAGGACAACACCGUUUAUGUUAUAAUACUAUCACCUCUGUUAUGAUAAUAUUUUUUUUGUGGCCAAAUAUCAUUUUUUUAAGUAAAAAGGUGGACAAAAUGCAAAUCAAUUUUUAAUCCUCAAACUCUCCCAAAAUUUAAAUUCGUAGUUAACAAAACACAAUUGUUGGAAAACCAUUAAGCUAGGUCCAUCGGUUGUUAAAACUAGGGAAAUUUAUAAAAAUAACUUAAAAACUUUUAUAAUUUCACAUUUUACCCUCCGAAAUUUUUCCUAUCAACAUUAGCAAAAAAUCCUUUCAAGUGCCGAAAAUACCCCUCCCAUUCUCAUCAAACUUCCUCUCUCUCUCUCUAACCAACGAUUUCUUUCUCAAGGUGGUCACUCAUCGCCGCCGGCUUUCCAGAGUCCAUCCUUGAUAGUCAACAUCACCAAAAUUUCAGUCAAGAUCUGAAAUCAAAGAUUAAUUUAAAAACCCUAGAUUUUGAAGCAUGUUCUAUUUCUAUUCUUCUUUUAUGUUGUGGUUUUGUUGUUGUGCUGGUGAUGGUGAGUGAAGAUUGAAGUGUUUGUGAUGUUGAUGGCAUGGGCGAAGUUGUUGGUGUAGUGCAUGGGUGAAGAUUGAAGUUGGCGUGGGCUUGGGGCCGGGAGAUAUCGUGCCUGAUCAGGCGCAACAACGCCCCUGUCGCACAAGAUCUGGGAGACAAGCACGCGCACCUGUCACUCACGCCUGUCGCGCGUGCUUGGUGCGACAGGUAGCAUGUUACAAUUUUUUUUUUUAACGUGAAGUUGGUGCGACAGGCGCAAUUUCGGUGCAACUCACACCUGUCGCACAAAUUUAGUACGACAGGCGCCUGUCGCACUAACAUACAAUCACACUGAAACUCUCUUGUCGCACGAAAUCAAGUUGACAAAACAUCUCUUAACACUCGGUGAUGCAAAAACAAAGUAUAAACAAUCAAAGAAACAUUUCAUCAAACACUUAAUACGCAAUAUUUUUACAAAACUAAUUUCCUUUUAAUUAGCUUACCUAGAUUUUGGGCUCUAUUUCACUUUGUUAGAAUUGUGUCCGAUUGGUGUUGGAUCCGAAUGGAUUUGGCUAUCUUUGAUCUUAGUUCACUUUUACCGUUCGCAGUCAUCGUUUGCCGUUGCCAUUUGCCUGUGAUGAUUUAAGAGUUCAAGGCUGCGUUUGGUUUGAUAAAGAGGGAGAAGAAAAGUUGCGUUUGGUUUGAUAGACAAGAGUAAUUUAGGGAAGAAACCUUAUGUUUGGCUGAUUAUGAUAGUAAAAACUUUAGAGGGCCAAUUGUAAAAAUUAUAAAAGUUUUUAGGUUAUUUUUAUAAAUUUCUCUUAAACUAUAGCUGACAAAAAGUUACUAACAAAAAGAGAAUGUCUAUUUUAUAACUUUCUUAAAAAACUUUCCUUAACUUUUUCAAAAAAGUAAUGAUAUAGUCACAAAUUCUUGUAUAAAUUUAUUUUGUACAAAUUAAUGUGAUAUGAUAAAAUUAGUUGAAUUAAAUAUCUUUUGGUCCACAUAAUUUAUUUUUAUUAUUUAUAUUUUCAUUCAACUAAUAAAUUAAUAACACGUAAGAGUUAUGACUGUAUCAUCAUUCUUUUUAAAAAGUUACUAACAAAAAGUUAUUUCCAAUUUUUAUUUUGUUAUAAUUUUUAAAACAAAAUUCGUAGUUAACUAAACUCUUCUUAAUUCCUAUGCCCUUUCUCAACUGCCAUACCCUACCCUGCUCCCCAUGUCCCCACUAAACCACGCUCAAUUCAGGCCAUCAGAUUCUCCCGGACCCACAUUAAUCCAACUGCUCACAGUGACCGACAGCCUCUCUAUCGCCAUUUCAAGCUCCCUCUUAAACUGGCUUCUGCUACCGUCGUACUCUUUCUCGGAUUCGGAGUCCGUAUUUGCUCGGCCGGUCCCACGCAGCUCCCUCUCACUCCAAUUGUCACCCAACAAGGCCAAUUGCUUACUCAAGGCACAGAACAAGAAGAGGAUGAGAAAUUGAAACAAGAAUUUGAGAAUUGGAAAUCGAAAACGUACGCAUUGACCGUGCCUUUGAGGGUUGUUUCUCUUCAGAAUUCAGUGCCUUAAUCUUGGGUUAAGGAUUUUAUGCGAAGUCAAGGAAAGACAUUGAUAAGUUUCAGAUGAAUUUGUUUGCUAGCAUUGAUGGGAUCUUUCACAAUUUAUCUAUGCCCUUUAACAAAGUUAAGGCUAAGUCAGCUUCAUAUAUGGCUGCUGAUUUGGUUAGUGUUGGUGAUUCAUGGCUCAGUUAUGCGAUUAUAAAGAGAUUGAUUGAGCCAAUAGCUGUAGCUGAAGAUCAAUAUUGGUUCAAAUGCUUAAGUCACAAAUGGAAGGUAACAUCUUUAUCUUUGCCCCGAUAAUUUUUAUUGUCUUACAUUGAAAUUUGGUAAUGUAAUUUGUUCUCUAUCUGUGUCACCCUUUGUAGUCAUUUUAUUUAUUUAUUGUUUUGCUUUUAUUUGCACUAACGAAUUCUCAGGCAUAUCUACCCAGGAAUGAUGCUGGAGAAAUUGAUCCUCGAGGUAAAAUAUGGGCGGCAGCAUACCGGUGGGGCACAAUGGGAUAGCUUACAAGAAAAGUAAAUUGCGAAAGCAUAUUUGGCUCCGAUUUAGGUAAUUGCCUUUAAGCUCAUUUAGUUUUAUAUGAAACAAAAUCAAGACUGCCUUUCUCUUCAAUAUUUUUGAUGAUAAUAUCUUUAGAAGCAUCUCAUUCACGGGUAAUCAUGGUAUCCCUUAAAGAGUCUAUAAACUCAAUGAUAUUAUCUUCUACAAAUGGUUCAUUAAACUUCUUAGUUGCAGUCAAAUGUACACUAAGAACAACGAGAAGCUAUGCCACUGUAGCAUGUAGUGAUGGCACUUAAUAAGUGACUUGCUAGGAUGUGAACUAGAUAAAUUAAAUAUUGUCUCCCUGGGCAUGCUAGCUCAUAAGUUGGGGUUAAUAUUAGCUAUUGACUGCCAAUUAAAAUAUCCAUUAAAAUGUCUAAGGAGUUACGAAGGUGGAGGUAUCUUCCAAUUUCUAAGGCCAAAUAGCAGACAUCAUCCAGGAUCCUGGGAAAGUGCAGUUAACUUCCUGCUUGAUCCUAAUGUGAAAACAAUUAAUAAAUUUGGUCAAUGCAACUGAAACCUGCUAACCGAUGUCACAAUGCGACAUCAGCACCUCAAAAUGGGAUAGAUGGUUAGUAGCACUAAAUUUUUCUGGCCUCAGAUUGAGCAAUUGGCCCAACGACUAACCCCGAUUGUGGGUUGAUGAUAAUUUUUUAAUUAUUUUCAUUUUGACCGAAAAAGUUACAGAAUCUUGAUCUGAAUAUUGUCACUGAACAGUGUCAAUAUCGUUUAGCAUAUCCAACUAACUUGAGUUUGGUGAAACAAACACAGAGUGUGUCUCUCAUGUCUCACCCUUCAAAAUUAUCAUCUGUAAUGAUGGAGAAUUUUUCUAAUGUAUGAACUAUGCUUCGAUAUAUGGGUUAGCUUGGAGAAGAUAUCUCAAGAUAAAGAAUAUGGGAAGCUAAUGGGAAGAAACAGGGGAUCUUCAUUCUUUUUCCUUUUUAUACCCAGAUAUCUCUCGACCUUUAUAUGAUCCCUACUGGAUAUUUGCUUCUAAUAACUAAAAUAAAAAUUUCACCCACCAAAAUGAAUACUGACCAAGCUUUAACAAUAAAAAGUAGCAUCUUUAGUCAAGUAAUUUGCAGUUCCUCAUCAUCUUAGUGUGAGUCUAUCAGUAUGAUCAAAAAACAUAAUAAAACUGGUUAGAUCCUGUUCAUUGAUGUUUAAAUGUUGUUCAGUGUGAAAUGUAGCAAUGAUGAGGUGAAGUUUCUUUGGUCAUCAAUUAGUAAGAUCUUGUAAUCUGGCAUUACUGGGAAACCAGGUACUCUUAAAGAAAUGAUAUCUGGUCAUUGCAUGUUAUUGCCUGACAACUGAUUUUGUUUGUAAAAGUCUGCUUCUUCAUACAUAUGAAUGCAUAUGUUAGUGUUGUCUUUUCCUUUUCCUACAUAUUAAUGCAUAUGUUGGUGUUCUCUUAUGAAAUGGAUGCAAUAAAGGCUUUUUCUCCUAAAUUUAGCUGAGGAAAUGGCAGGGGAUGUGAGAUUCUGUCUCAUUAAAUUAACAAAAACCCAAAACAAUAAAAACCCAUAAUAAUGUGGUGUGGGUAAAUUGGCGACAUUUGGCUCGUUACCCUGAUGUGAAUAUGCGAGCAAUGGAGACUAACAAAAUGAAGUGACGAUUCAGUGUCCUUUGAUGGAUGCAUUUUUAAGCAAAAAUAGGUUUGUAACUGACCAAAUUUGUCUGGCAUGCCAAUUUAAAAAAAUUAAAUUAUGUGGUUGUUAGCUGUAGUGAAGGGGGGGUAGUAGGUCCAAUCCGGUCGAUCCAGGAAAGUUCAACAAAGUUCUGGUAUGGUGCAGUGAAACUGGUUUGUGCAACUCAAGAGUCGUUCAGGUAAAAGAUGAUGUGUUUUGAUUUAAAAAUGUUAUAAAUUUACUGUGUAUAGUAUUCUAGUAGAAUCAUCUAUAAAUUUAAGUUUUUGAAAUUAUCUGCUUUUCCCAGUUUGAGUUAAGGGCACAUGUAAUAUGAAAAAUAGUUGUCGAAUGUUGUAGGUUACCUAACAUUUGAUCAAUCCUAUUAUGAUGGCUUCAAGAUGUCUAACAAUAUGUAGAAUGCCCCUGCUCCUCCCCAUUGUUUAUCUUAUACAAUAAUAUGUUGUGGAUGCUAAUAUCUUUGUCGAUACCUGUAACAGUAUUACAAAAUCUGCGUUCAUUGGGUUUUAUAUAGGUUCAACUGUCUGACAGUUCACACUGUCUGAAGGCAUUUGGAAUUGGAGAUGUAUGGGUUGCCGUUGAGGGGAGUAGUGAUGUUCUUCCUGCUGUCAAACGUAUGUCUAAUGUUGCAGUUUUUGUUCCCAAGUCUGGUGCUAGCUUAUGGGCCGAUCUUUGGGUUAUAACCAUGCCUGUCAUUCUACUUCGAUAUUCACUUUGUUAUCACCUUCAUAUUAGUGAUCAGUAAACAUGACAAUGUGACUAAUAAAUUUGUAUUCUCUUUAUAGGCAAUCCGAGCUGCCUCAAGACUUGAAACAAAACAAAUUGAAGGCGAGUCAGAGGUCCAUCUCCAUUAAUCCAUUAAUAGAUAGAGUUCCACUUGCAAACAGCAAGAGCAUUGCCUUUCAAGCAAAAGGUUAUCCCGGGUGCAACUCCCUCUGCCCUUGAAAGUACUCUGGUUAAGUUGCCUGAACAACUUCUGAAGGGUAAACCAAGUCUGGAUACUAACUUAACUGCUGGAGUACCUCCGGCUGAAAUUCUGGCCAGAUGUGGGUUUUUGGAGCCAUUAUCUGAAGCUACAUUGUCAAAUUAUGAGUGGCUGGUUGCUAAUCUACAAAAACCUGCUCCUGUCUUGAUGAAAAGGGUGCAACAUUACAUGUCAUCAUUAAUCCGAAGCUUUCUAGCAAAAGCUACAUUGAAAAGUUAAUGGCACCGCAUGCCAGUCAUUAUAAUGCUGUCAGGGCAAUUGGGUCAGAGCAUAACUUCAUUGGGAAAAGAGGAUUCAGCUAGGUUACCUAUUACAGGACGUACUGAGAUGGCUGAAGUUCUUGAGGUUUUAUGAGAAAUGAAAGAUGAGUGCUUGUUUGAACAAAGUUGUCACCAAUCUCGUAAAGUUCAAGAAGAAAGAUCACAGAGCUAAUGCCACCAAUUUCUUCAUUAUUGCAGCCUCCAUUGUUGAAGUUUCCUCAUUUGAAGCUGUUUAUGCAUAUGCUUCUUCCCUGCUCAAGUACAGGAAAUUGAAGAAUUAGCCAGAUAUGAUAUGAUGAAAGAGGGAAGUUUUCUUCCUUGAAUAUGGCCUUGUAAUUUGUAGUGAAGGAGUAGGAUGAUCACUAGCAAGAACCCUAUCAAGGUAGAUUUUAUGAUGUUAACAUAUUACUAAGCAUUUGUUUCUUUAGCAAUGAUACUUUCAUAGCAUGAAUUUAAUUAUAUGAUCCUGAUUAAUCAAUUAAUUUUCAUGAGUUUUAACCUAGUUAAAACGAAGUACAAUCAUCGUUAACAAAUACUGAAAUUGGGUAAAUAUGAUCUUGACAUUGAAGAAGAAUUUGAAAACACAACCCGCAGAGGAAAUUACCUAUUGCAUGGGGAUGGAGAUGUAUAUUGCAGCGAUAUAGAAUAUGUGCCAGGCGUUGUCUACUGCUCUUUGGGUUAUGGUGUGAUUUGCGAAUUCAAUGUUGCCCUGAAACAAUGGAAAAGAUUAACAUAUCCUCCAAUGAAUGAAAACGGCUUGACUAAUUUUGACUACCUACUUGACUCAGGAUCAGGUGACAAUAAUGACGGUUUAUUAACAUUGCACGGCCCCAGUACUCUUCCAGGAUCAGAUACGAAGUAGUCUAAAGUUGAUAAUAAGAGUUUUAUUAAAUGACAAAUCAUUGUUGUUGGGUGUUGGUUAUAUACGUCAUUACAACUACAAGUUGAAGAUGAAGGUUAUGCAAGUGAUUUCAGAAAUACAAUACAUUCCAAGAGAUGCUGGUCUACAAUUGCAUGCCCCCAGAUAUAAGAAUCUUUUGAUUGGGGCAUUGAAAAUGAAGAAUUGAAAAUGAAGUUGCAAGUUGCCGCCUAUAGCUGCUGAGUAAUAAUAAAACGAGAUAAAUUAAUUAAUCUCAGACCUCUAUGUAUAUGUUAUCCUAACUUUACUUACCCUUAUUUGUUAUAUUCACUUAAAACUUGAUGCCUAAACCAUUAAAAUCAAAUGACCAUAGGGGUAUUUACAGUAUGUAAAAACAAACAAAAACACGUAAAAAAUUUCAAAAAAUUAAUAAUCACACUCUAAACUUACCACUCAACUCCUAAGAAUAGUCAUAAUCUAAAACAAUUUACAACUUUUGAAGGAAGUAGCUAUGAAGAUGGGGGAAAAUCCUUUUCUCAGUGGAGUGCCAUUGCCCAAGAGUUGCAAUGAAAACGGACCACAUACAGCUGUGCCGGAAGAUUCAACGAGGUAUGAAAAAGAUGAUAAUUUAAGUGAUAUGGGCAGUAAUUGUGAUGUCAGAAAGCAUUAGUAUUCUAUAUGUGAACCAUUAUUGACGACAUCAUUGGUUUUAUCUUAUUAAAAUGUGGAUGACUUCCAGUUACUAUUUUAUUAGAAACAAUCUUAUUCAAUUAACAUAUAGUUUAAAACUAUUAUGUAAAUCAAUCUAUUAAUUUUCAUGGUAUUUAACUGAGUUAAAACUAAGUGCAAUCAAUAAAUCUUUUUUUCUUUAAAAAACUGCUACGCUUUGAUUUUAUUACUUAAUAUUUAUUGAACUCUGGUACAGGAAAUUUGAAAUCAAACUCGUAACUACAGAUUAUCUAAUUGCGAGUUACUGUCCAUGGCUGCUGAUUUGUAGUGAUUGUCUAAUUGACUGAGGUGACAAUAUUUUUUUUUUAAUUUUCAAUAGCACAAUGUGAAAUUCAAUAAUUAAAUUCUCCUGUUUAAUUUGUUUCAAGUUAAAUUAUUAAUUACUUAAACUCUUUUUUAAGUCUUUAAUUUUACGUCAAGUGACUUGGACAUGACGUACAAUGAGAGUGACAGUAAACAAACAUUAAAACGUGUGGACUCCGGUAGCUGACCUACAAGUCUACAAUAAUAAAUUGGGCCGGGGUUAAGUUACAUGAUCACGUAACAAACAUUACAUGAAUGAGGGCCGUUAGAUGUGAACAGUAAAAUCGAAUGGAUGGGAAUGAAAUGAACAGAAAAAAAGAAGUGAUGGGAAACUGGGAAAACUGGUGAACGAAAACCGCUUGGGCCACCGGGUCAAAACAAGGGUUAUUGUUUGAAUUCGAUUCAGGAGGCAAGAAACCUGAUUUUUUGUAAUUCGAUUCAGCGCCAUUAAAGCUGGUUUUCACAGCAACUAUGAUUUUUUUUUUUUAUAAUAGCACCAACUCCUACCCUUAAUUUAUAAUCAAACAUUACAUCUUCAAGAUUUAAUUUAUACCAAUAUUCAGGGGCAGACGACCAUGAAAAGUUCCUUGGAGCUUCCAUUAAUGGAGUUAAAAAUUAAUAUCUCGUUGAUGACUACUCUCAGCACAAGCGGUGAAGUGGCUUUGGCUUUAGCAAAAACCUUCUAUGCAUCUUCAUCUUUUAAAAAGCACACCCUUUCUUGCUCCCCAGUUAGUCCACAUCAAAAUUACAAGCGAACAAGCGAUUCUUUUUUGAGUUAUUUGAUGAAGAGGCAGCAUAAUUCAUAAAAUCCAUAAGUUAUGUCCAGUCCUUUUAAUCAACUCAGGAAAAAAUUAGAAUGAAUCUAAUUAAACUUUUGAUUUUUUGCAUCCAAUACGAGCAGGACAUAAAACUGCAUCUUUCACCGGCUUCAGAUGGUCAGCAAAAACUUUCUUUUUUUAAGCGUUUGGGAGCAAAUCGGAUAAAGCUCUUCAUAAAAAUCAAAAAGUAACCCCAAGGAUCAUCCAGGUCAAUCUGCAUGAGUUUUGCUGUUCAUACAUGAGCCAUAGAAGCAAGUUGAACCGCCAAACCGGGCACUAUGGUAAGACGUGGAAACACCGGAUCCCAUUCGUACCUCGAUCUGUUCGUUUUCUCGUUCAGAACGGGCCGAUAUGCGCAAGUAAGAAGUUUCCUCAGCCUGAGAGUUCAAAGAAAUCAUGUCACUUUGGGUUGCACAGGCUAUAGGAGAAAUUAUUCUUUUCGACUUACUUUUUUCAACCGGCUACAAACCGCUUCAAUCGGUAAAAUUAGAAUUAUAAUAGUUACACGUGUUGUAAUGUUGUUGAUUUAUUUGUCAAUUUCUUUAAUGUUUGUUACAUGUUAUGUAAGGUAACGAGACCCAUAAUUGAGUGCAUAGAAUUUCAAUGAAUUUCUGCCCCGUUGAGUUCACCGACUAAACUUUUGUAAAAUUAAAAAAAAAAAAAGUACAUAAAAUUUCAGAAAGGCUAAUACUAAGUUAUAUGCAUGUAACUUACAACCCUUUUACAUAAAUAAUGAAUGAUAUGAGCCCACUCAUUAUUUAUGUAAGAGCAUUAUAAGUUACAUGCAUGUAACUUAAGGUGAUCCUUUCAGAAAAUACAAAACGCGCAGAAUUAACCAAAAUAUAAUUUAACAAAAAAGGGAAAAAAAAGUAAGAUUUUUAAAAUGUGUGGAAGGUAAUCCAUAUUUUAUUGAAAUGACUUGUCUCGAAUAUUAAAAUGAUUGAUUUUUUUUUUUAAUAAUAUCAACUUCCAUAUUUUCUACCCCAGAACAUGCUCACAUUCAAGUCAAUCUCGCUAAUUUGAAAUACAAAAUCAAAUCAACACCAAAGCAAUGAAAAGUAAAGCUUUUAAAUUUUAACUCCAGCUAGCAAACGUAUUCAGCGUUUUCAAAUUCUUCCCAUUGCAUCUUCCUCCAUCAAUGCAAUAUUUGAACGAUUAAGAAAGAGUUUGAGAACAUAAAAAAUCCCCAAGGCUUAUACGGUAUUAACAAAUUUAAAUUCUCAAUUAUAAUAGAUAAUAAUUAAACUAAUAAUUAUUUAUUUUUUUAUUUUAGUAAUUUCACCUAAGAAUAAUAUUGUAAUUAGAAAAAAAAUCUAAUAAGUAGGGUGGUCUUAUACAAAAUCAACUGCAUAUACAUAUAUAUAUAUAUAUAUAUAUGCAGAUGCAAAUGAUAAUUUUUAAUUCUUUUUUUUAAUAAGAAAAUUGUGUAUUGAGAUGAAUGAGAUGUUUAAUUUAAUUAAUUUCCUUACUUUCAUAUACAUUGUCUUUCUAUCUAAAGAAAGCUUGGUGUUGAGAUCGACAUGAAGUUGCAAGUUGCUGCCCAUGCAUGGCUGCUGAUUAAUAAUAAAACGAGACAAACUAAUUAAACUCUGGCCUCCAUGCGUAUGUCAUCCUAACUUUACUUGCUCUUGUUUGUUAAUAUUCAUUCUUAGAGAGGUGAAAAAAUUACAAGUCUUGAAUAACAAGGAGUUUAAUUGCCUCUAACUUCACUUGGUCUUCUUUAAUCACAUUAAUAAUCAAUUCCCCUGCAAUUUCGGAAGCCAAGCGCAAAAUCAUACAGAGAAUUAAUUAUCUUUUUAUUAUCAACCCAUCUUCAAGAAGAUUUUCCUCAAUUUGCCCCAGAGGAGUUGGAGCUGUGUUUCUGAUAAGCCAAAGAGAUAGUAGCAAUUAAUAUUGAUAUUGCCUACCCAAGAAAUAUGAGUGAAUUAAGUAUUAGCAAGACUUCAUUCAGAGGAGCAAUUAAACCACUUCCUUAUCAAUUGCGGCAGCCGUCUAUUAACUAAAAUGCCAAUCUAAUACAGGAAGAAACAACAUUUACAGAUUCGGCAAUUGAGUUCAUUAAGAAGUAGCAUCAUAUUCGGGUGAUGAGUUUCAUUUUUUUAAUAAUUUUAGUCUAAUUUCAAUUGUACUGUGACCGCUACUCAAGGGAAGUGAAAGUUACAGAUGUGGCAAAAUAAAUAAUUAAAUUAACAAAAAUGCUAACUAAUUUUCCUGAAUACCUAGGGUUGCACAAUUUCACCAACCUGAUCGGGGCAUUUUUGGUGUGAUUUCGUGCUGUGUAAGCCACAACUAAAAUCAAACAGCCCCUUAGCAUACUUCUUCCAUUUUAUCUGCUACUUUUGUGGAUCUUAUAGGGUGGGCAUGUGGACAGAAUUUAAAAGUUUUAAUAGUCUCAAAGAAUAAAAUAUGUUAAAUUAGAAAUGAAAAAAUGGGCGUUGAUGAUUCAUCCUGAUUUGGAUAGAUUACUUGUAUAAAAUUGACAAUUUUGAUUUAAUUUUUGUUUAUUGUUAAUUUUCAGGCUAUCUUAAUUUCAAGAAUUUAGAAUAUUAAUUUGGUCAUGGAUUUCAAUCCGUGAGUAUCAUAUUCUAGACUUAAUGGUACCAUUCUUGAUUGAGGGCAACGACUCUCACUCCUCUUGUAAAAAAAUAUUUUCAACUAUUUUGAUGACUUAAAAAUUGAUAGAUUUAUUGUUGUCAUGACCAAAUUAUUCAUUUUAAUGAAAUAUAAUUAAUGCAUCAAAAUUAGCAGGUGUAUGUU
rnacentral:lncRNA from 1 species